CUUCCUGGACAUCCUUGCAAGAGCCUUGCAAGAGCCUCCUAACUGGGCUCCCUAACCGGAUUCUCCCCUUAGAUCUCUUCUAAAAGGUAAACACCAUUAUGUCCUUUCCCUGCACAAAACCCUGCCAAGGGUCCCUAUCCCUGCAGGCUACAGCCCAAGCGCCUCGAGGCCUUUUAGGAUUCAGACCUACUUUUCUUCCCCUCCCCAAGCUUCUGCUGCUACCACGUGUUUCUCCCCAGCCCACGGGAGACUCUUCUGGCUCCUCUUGUCUUUAGCCUGGUGGUCACUCCCUCUGUAGAGUCUCUCCUGGGCCUCUAAGUCCGGGUGCAGGGACUUUCCUUGCUUCCCGCUAGACCUGUCUGAGCAUCCAGGCUCUGUGUUCUCAUGGUCUGUCUCCCCCAGCAGUUGUGAGUUCCUUGAUGGCAGGACUGUCACAUUCAUCAGGGUGUUCCCAGGCCUUAGGCCCUAACCCCUGGGCUUUCACCCGAGGUCACCCGCUUUUUUUUUUUUUUUUUUUUGAGACAGAGUUUCUCUCUUGUCCCCCAGGCUGGAGUGCAGUGGCACCAUCUCAGCUCACUGCAACCUUUGCCUCCCAGGUUCAAGCGAGUCUCCUGCCUCAGCCUCUUGAGUAGCUGGGAUUACAGGCAUGCCACCACGCCAGGCUAAUUUUUGUAUUUUUAGAAGAGAUGGGGUUUCAUCAUAUUGGUCAGGCUGGUCUCAAACUCCUGACCUCAGGUGAUCUGCCCACCUCAGCCUCCCAAAGUGCUGGGAUUACAGGCGUGAGCCACUGCACCCGCCUUUUUUUUUUAAGACGGAGUCUUGCUCUGUCGCCAGGCUGAAGUGCAGUGGCGUGAUCUUGGCUCACUUCUCGGAUCUUCGCCUGCUGGGUUCAAGCGAUUCUCCUGCCUCAGCCUCCCGAGUUGCUGGGAUUACAGGCGCCCACCACCAAGCCCGGCUAAUUUUUGUAUUUUCAGUAGAGACGGGGUUUCACCAUGUUGUCCAGGAUGGUCUCAAUCUCUUGACCUCGUGAUUCGCCCACCUUGGCCUCUCAAAGUGCUGGGAUUACAGGCCUGAGCCACCGCGUCCGGCCCCCUCACCCUCUUUACUGCAAACGGAUUGGGAAUUCUUUCUCAAAACUUAGUAGGGUUUCCUCUCUUCCCCUGCCGUAAAUACCAUAGGAACAUAGAAAUAAGAACCCAAAUGCCAAAGACAACUUAAUUGAACAUGAGUCUUUUCAGCCAUUCUGUUGCCCAGUGUGACUGUGUAUGUGUGUGUGUGUGUGUGUGUGUGUGUGUGUGUGACACAGAGAGAGAGAGAAUGCAUAUGUGUGGUAGGGUGUACACAGUGGACCUUUUUUUCUUUUUAGAGACAGGAUUUCGCUCUGUUGCCCAGGCUAGAGUGCAGUGACACAAUCAUAGCUCACUGCAACCUUGAACUCUUGGCCUCAAGUGAUCUCACCUAAGCCUCCCAAGUAGCUGGGAUUACAGGCUUCAGUCACCAUGCCUGGCUCUGGUAGACAUUUUUGAUUAUCUUUAAAGAUGAAGAAGGAUUUCGGCAUCCAUGUCCUCCCGGGAGGCAUAGUCCAAAGGAGGCCUUUUCUCCAGCCAGUGCGGAUGGAGGACCAGCAUCAGGAAGAGAGAGGGUUUAAUCCAAAGGCUGCCUAGGAAGAGGCCUAAGGGUUUGGCGCUUCUCCCCGCCUGAAGACUCUCCGCACAGGGGUUGUUUGUUAGAACUACCCCACGGUGUGUUCCUGAUGUGCAUUGAUCCAGAGCAAGAGCUGGUCACUGGAGAGAUGACCGUGGCAGAUUAGCUUGAGUUCUACCCUCUGGUCUUUAAUGCUUUUUUUUUUUUUUUUUUUUUUUUUUGAGACAGAGUUUCGCUCUUUCACGCAGACUGGAGUAAAGUGGCAUGAUCUCGGCUCACUGCAACCUCCAUCCCCCAGGUUUAAGUGAUUCUCCUGUUUCAGCCUCCUGAGUAGCUGGGAUUAUAGGCACCUGCCACCACGCCUGGCUAUUUUUUGCACUUUUAGUAGAGAUGGGGUUUCACCAUAUUGGUCAGGCUGGUAUCGAACUCCUGACCUCAGGUGAUCCACCUACCUUGGCCUCCCAAAGUGCUUGAAGGGACAGGGGAGGAUAUUCUAGGUAGUAGCUGAUGGUAGGGAAGCAGGAAAGUUAUGUUCCAGCUCUAGAACAGACCUGGUACUGAGAGAGUUGAGUGGAUGAAGAGUGAGUGAGUGACUGAGUAAAUGUAGUGCUUAAGGUAAAUGCAGACUAAACCAACUGACUCGUUUAGGUCAUGGUGUGUGUGUGUGUGUGUGUGUGUGUGUGUGUGUGUGUGUGUGUGUGUGUACAUGUGUGUAUGUAAGUACAUGUAUGUGUAUGUGUGUACCAGUGUGUAAAUAUGUACAUAUAUGUGUAUUUCAGGGAUGGGAAAAUGACAAGGAGCCAGAAAUACAAGUUGUCUCACAGAUGCUCUUGAGUGCGUGAAUUCCAGGCUGAGUUUGCAUUUUGUUUUCAGCUGGGAGCCAUGGAAGGCUGGGAAACUGGGGAAUGGCAGGAUAAAAAUGAUGCUUGAGAUGGAUGCACCUGACCAAGAGCAUGGGCUGGACCCGAGGUAGGGAGAGCCCGCGGUGGGCUCCAGUGACAUUUAGCAUUACAGAAAGAGGGCUGCUCAGGUUCUGAGACUAGGGAAGUUUCAGAAAGGAAGCCUCGGGGAGGCAUGGGGUCUUUUCUUGCUUUCUCUAGGUAGCCACACAGGAACAGAGAGUCUUGGAGCAGAGGUUCCUGGCAGGCUGUGCAGGCAGCGCAGGGCUGCUUGGGUGAACAACUUCACCCACAUGACAGAGGCGGAGUGCUUUUGAGUCAGACACACCUGACUCAAGGGAGUGCCUCCCCGCUUUAUGGCUGGCAGCACCAGAAACAUUUUUAGGCAAAGUUUAAAGCAGCUCUGACCCCAACCAAGAGGCCUGGGCUAGAAUUAUUUCCUUAGUGUUAGUUCAGCCUUGUCCUUGGGGCCUGGAACCUGGACAUUCCAGGGCACAGGACCUGAGUGCACUCACCCUUUUAGGGCAAGGCUGGCAGAGAGAGCACCCGUCAGAAGAAGGUUCAGCAAGGCUGCUUGCUCUAGGCUGAGGGUGGAAUCAAAGAUGACUUUGUGAAGGGGGUGGCCUUUUCCCUGGCCUUGAAGGCUGGCUAGGAUGUGAACAGAGGUAAAUAGAAAGGAAGGAGGCCCCUAGGUGGAGGUGGAGGGACCUAUGUGAGCACAGUUACCGAAGAAGGAGAAAGGUGCAGGGGUCGAGGGCAGGUGCAGGGCAAGGUGCAGGGGUUGAGGGUGGCCCAGAUGUCUUGCCUCCAUGCAGCCCCACCUCCAAGAGGCAGCUUGAACCCCAAGCUGGGGGUGGCAGGGGAAGGGCAUUCUAGUAAAGCCAGUGACUGAUCUGGGUGGGAUGCCUUGCAAAGCAGUGGAGAGCCACCAGAGGAAGUGACCCGGGAUGCCUCUGACACCCCUGCCUAACCUGGCAUUCUCCCUUCAAAAAUUAUUCCUUUACUUGGCCAACACCCUCAGCACUCUGUCCCUUGCAGGUGGCCAUCACAGGACAGGUGUACCCUGGAGGAGGGUGGGUGAGGUGAGGGAGGGGAGCUCUCCCAAAGUUGAUGUGCUGUGUUGGCAAGUUAUCAGUUUGAUGGGUGCAGAGAGAUUACCCCGGGGAGGGCGGAACACAGGACAGGCAAGUUUCAAAGGGAAGGAGGCUGUUGCAGCAACAAGUCCCACUGGGGUGGGGCAGGGAGGGGUGAAGAAGAGGCUGUUUCUGCCAAAAAUGGAAAGUAGUUAUGGGUGAGGUAGAGGCUGGGCAAGACUCCUGGGAGGGCCAGGAACCUUAGGAAUGGACCAAGUUUCUUCUCUUUUUUUUUUUUUUUUUUUUUUCUGAGAUGGAGUCUCACUCUGUUGCCCAGGCUGGAAUACAGUGGGGCGAUCUCGGCUCACUGCAACCUCCGCCUUUCAGGUUCAAGUGAUUCUCCUGCCUCAGUGAUCAAGUGAUUCUCCCUACGCGGGAGCUCCCUCUCCCAGCUCCCAAGUAGAUGGGAAUACAGGUGCGCCACCACACCCAGCUAAUUUUUGUAUUUUUGUAGAGACAGGGUUUCAUCAUAUUGGCCAGGAUGGUCUCGAUCUCUUGACCUCAUGAUCUGCCCGCCUCAGCCUCUCAAAGUGCUGGGAUUACAGGCGUGAGCCCCCACGCCCAGCUGAGUUUCUUCUCUUCAUGCCCUGUUGCUUGGCCUGGGCCAUAGGAAUAAAAAGAAUGAAGAAAGCAGUCAUGAUGUCUCUCCCACUUGCUAGGUUCUUACCAAGUAGUUCCUAUAAUUUUGUUUACUUCUCAUGACAACUCAGUGCUAUUAUCCCCAGUUCUCUAGAUCAGCUCAGAGUGGUCAAGAAACUUGUCCAGGCUGAUAGCGUAAGUAGCAGAGUCUGGACUGCAGCCCACGUGUUUCUGACUCAAAGCUUGUGACUUUUCCACCUCUCCACAUUGCCUGGAGGAGAGAAGAGAGAAUAGUUAGAAAGGAGGGGAGGGACAGGGUGUACAGCUCAAGGGUGGGGUUUUCUCUGCAGGGCCAGAAGGUUCUUGAAUGCCCCAGAGCAAAGCUGUUAGCUGAGAGACCACUGACCCUGACACCCUAGAGAGGCUCACUCUAUAUGUAAAAGAUGUGAAUUUCUCCUUCUGCUCCCAGCCAGGAGAAAACUCAGUUGUUGAGUGGGGAUGGAGAAUGUUACCUGAUAUGAUGACUGCAGCGUCCUUAGCCACACUCAGACAUUGCCCUGUUUGUCAUGUUUGUAUGGUGGUGGGGAGGGAUCAGGAGUGGCCAAAACUUAAAACUGGACCCUGGAGGUGGAGACCGAGAAGGAAGUGGGAGUAAAGACCAGCUUCUGGGGGUGGGAUGGGGUCCAACCUGUCUUCGGGGAUUACAGGGGCCUCCUGUGACUCCAGCAGGAGCAGGGGCUCCGGCACAAGGUCAUCAGAGUGCUGAGUGGGUGACAUGCAUGGUGGGAGAGGGAGCCACCACUGCAUCAUGGAGAUUCGGGCGUGUAGACAGGAGGAUGGCAGCUAGUGCUUGGAAAUGUCAUAUGGAUUCUGGGAAUGGGAUUGGCAUGAACAAGGCAGGUGAACGGGGAGCUGGGUACUGCACUGGUCCCAGCAUCUGGGCCUGGGCAGAGAUCUUAUUGCAGAAGCAAGGGAAGAAGGUGGGGCUGGAUCUCAGAAUGAAAGAAGGAACAAAUAGCAGACCCAAGAGGCUUAUGCAGUGGCCCAUAUUGGAGGAGUCAGGAUGGGUCCCAGCAACCUAGAGAGGGCUGGGCCUGUGCCAUGGCUCCAUCUGGGGCAGAAGGACCAGCAGAGCCCAAGAACUGGGAGACCCUGUCUGAAAGGACAUCAUGCUUUAGCAAGCUGGGUGUUUUAGGGACACACAUUGCAUCCUAAGUUUUUUUUUUAGGAAGCCUCGGUUCAGAAGAGGACCUAGGGAGCCCCAGGACUUGUGAAUAUUGAUGUCAGAAGUGAAAUUUCUCCUAGCAGAAGGGAGAAUCUCUAUAACUUUUUUUUUUUUUUUGAGGUGCAAUCUUGCUCUGUUGCCCAGGCUGGAGUGCAGUGGCACGAUCUCGGCUCACUGCAAUCUCCACCUCCCAGGUUCAAGCAAUUCUCCUGUCUCAGCCUCCCAAGUAGUUGGGAUUACAGGUGCCCCCCACCAUGCCUGGCUAAUUUUUGUAUUUUUAGUAGAGACAGGGUUUCACCAUCUUGGUCAGGCUGGUCUUGAACUCCUGACUUUAGGUGAUCCGCCUGCCUUGACCUCCCAAAGUACUGGGAUUACAGGUGUGAGCCACUGCGCCCGGCCAAUUUUUUUUUUUUUUUUUUUUUUUUUUUUUUUUUUUUUUUUUUUUUUUUUAGACAGGGUCUUGCUCUGUCGCCCAGGCUGGAGUGCAGUGGCGCCAUCUCGACUCCUUGCAGCCUCCACCUCCCAGGUUCAAGCAAUUCUCCCACCUCAGCCUCCAGGGUAGCUGGGAUUACAGGGGCCCACCACCAUGCCCGGCUAAUUUUUGCUUUGUUUUGUUUUGUUUUGGGAUGAAGUUUCACUCUCGUUGACCAGGCUGGAGUGCAAUGGUGUGAUCUCAGCUCACUGCAACCUCCAUCUCCUGGAUUCAAGUGAUUCUCCUGCCUCAGCCUUCCAAGUAGCUGGGAUUACAGGCGCCCGCCACCAUGCCCAGCUAAUUUUCACAUUUUUAGUAGAGACGGGUUUCAUCAUGUUGGCCAGGCUGGUCUCAAACUCCUGACCUCAGGUGAUCCACCUACCUCAGCCUCCCAAAGUGCUGGGAUUAUAGGCAUGAGCCACCAUGCCCAGCCAAUUUUUGCAUUUUUAGUAGAGACGGGACUUCACCAUGUUGGCCAAGCUGGUCUUGAACUCCUGACCUCAGGGGAUCUACCCGCCUCGGCCUCCCAAAGUGCUGGGAUUACAGGUGUGAGCCACUGCGCCUGGCCUAUAGCUUUUAUUUAUCCUAAUAGAGACACAAGCUUGCUAGUUUCUCUAUUUUUUUAAAGAAAAAACUUUUUUGUUUUUGUUUUUUUAGACAGAGUCUCGGUCUGUCGCCCAGGCUGGAGUGCAGUGGUGCAAUCUCGGUUCACUGCAACCUCUGCCUCCCAGGUUCAAGGGAUUCUCCUGCCUCAGCCUCCUGAGUAGUUGGGAUUACAGGCGUGUGCCACCACGCCCAGCUAAUUUUUGUAUUUUUAGUAGAGAUGGGGUUUCACCGUGUUGGUCAGGCUGGUCUCAAAUUCCUGACCUCAUGAUCUGCCUGCCUCAGCCUCCCAAAGUGCUGGGAUUACAGGCAUGAGCCACCACGCCUGGCCUUUUGUUUUGUUUUGUUUUGUUUUUGUUUUUUAAGAUAGGGUCUUGCUCUGUCACUCAGGCUGAGUGUGGUGGCACAAUCAUAGCUCACUGCAGUCUCAAACUCCUGAGCUCGAGUGAUCCUACUACCUCUGCGUCUGGAGUAGCUGGGACUACAGGCAGGUGCCUGUAUGUACCACACCUAGCUAAUUUAAAAAAAAAAAAUUGAGGGCCGGGCGCUGUGGCUCAUGCCUGUAAUCUCAGGACUUUGGGAGGCUGAGGCAGGCAGAUCACUUGAGGUCAGGAGUUCGAGACCAGCCUGGCCAACAUGGUGAAACCUGUCUCUACUAAAAAUACAAAAAUUAGCUGGGUGUGGUGGCACAUGCUUGUAAUCCCAGCUACUAGGGAGGCUGAGGCAUGAGAAUCGCUUGAACCCGGGAGGCGGAGGUUGCAGCGAGUGGAGAUCACGUCACUGUACUCCAGCCUCGGUGACAGAGUGAAACUCUGUCUCAAAAAAAAAAAAAAUGUUUUUUGUAGAGACAGAGUCUUGCUAUGUUGCCCAGGCUAAGACAUAAACUUAAUGCAUUCCUUUUCUGCACCCAUCUUGAGUCACUCCUUGCCGAAGAGGUGUCUGAGGAUCAGUGCUCACUGAGGGUAUGCCAUCCACAUGCAUCAGUGGUUUAGAGCAAGAAGUGACCCAGCCUUUCCUUCAUUUUACUAGGAGGAAACUGAGGCCCAGAGGGGUUGAGAGACUCCCCUUAGGUCCAGGGGCUCAGGAGAGAGUGGGGACAGAAUCCCAGCUGCAGACCCCCCAGCCAGUGCUCCCUUCCUCUGUGCCCCCCCACCCAUCUGGACUUUCCAUGGUAACUAAGCCUCCUCCAGUGUGGGAAGCAGUUACCUAGCAACUUCCCAUAACCAGGUUAGAGCCGAGGGAGUGAGAUACCACAUGCUGCCUGCCCUGGGGAAUUUAGAUGUGUAGAAAUGGGAUCGCCCACGUCAUAGUGUGGCCACAAAUGACCCUGCAUAGAGCCAUGCCUGGAAGCCCCUGUCGGGGAGAGUCUCACAUCAGGAUCAGUGAGUCUCAGGGAUGACGGCACAGUCCUGGGCUGGCUGAGGCGUCCACCCCUGCAGUGGAUGCAGGGCCCCACUGUGUACAGUGCUGGUUUCUCUGAACAGCAUGGAACCUGUCCCCAUUGACCUGCUGGCUCAGUGUGGAUGGGGGAUCCACAGAGGAAGGCUGAUGGAAAGGCUGUGUCUGUGUCCUUGCAGGCGUCUCACUGUGGCGGGGGGAAUGGCAGGGAAGCUGUGCUCCUUCAUGCUGCCUCUUGUUCCCUAAUUAUGUCAAGAAAUGUUUAUGAAAUGACAUGAUUGUAAAGUAAGUGACUCUUCCUGUAAUGUUCCCUGUAUAUUGGGUUUUGACAACCAUCCGCCACCCCCACACGCUCACCUGCUUCUUCCUGUGGGCAGAGCCCUGCCUAGGUUCCCAGGUUCUGCCUCCUGAAGGGUCCUACCAAUUGGCCUAAGCCAGUUAUGGUGGCCUCAUUCUCUUGGAAAUGGCUGGUGUAAGAACAGCAUGGGAUCCAGUCUUGCCAGUGGGAUCUGUGUGAAUGGCCGCUGAAGGACCUCCAGGAAGGAAAGGGUUUCUCAUUGAGUAGAAUUGGGAGAGAAUGUGCCCCUUCUCCAUUAGACAUUGUCACGUCUGCAUGUGAUGUCUGGAGCUGUAAGCCACUGAGAAGAGACACCACUGAUGCUCAGAGACAUCACUGAUGCAUUGUUGGGCCAUUGUGUUAAGCCAGCCAAUGGCUGUCUUGUCUCUGGACUUCUUGUGAUGGGAAAUCAUGAGCCUCUUGUUGCUCUAGAGCCUUUUGGUCAGGCCUCUGUUUUUUUCGCCUCCAGCUCACUCACUUUGCACUUGUCUGAGUGGGCCACUUAAUAGAGAUGCCUUGACAAGUCUUGGUAUUAAAGGUAAAGCACCCAAAGAAAACAAAUGUCCCAUAUCUUCGAUUUACUGACUAAAUCAAAGAUGGGACUCCCUGAUCCUUUAUCUCCUCAGUUGGAAUUGAAAUCCGACUAGCAGCUGCAUGCCCAGCUCUCGCAGGUCUGAAUAGACUUCUCCCUAAAGAGCCUGAUGGCGUCCCUGGUAUUCCCAGCAUCUGGCACAUUUCUUUCAUUCAUUCAUUCAUUCAUUCAUUCAUUCACUCAUUCACUCACUCACUCAUGCGGUGGUGUGCUGGGGCUGGCUCCUAUCUGCCCAUGAAAAACAAUUGUGUACAUCUCUUCCCAACUCUGGAUUCAGUGAUGUCAUGUUGGUAGCCUGAAAUCUGCCAUGGUGGGAGUUGUUCUUUUUUAAGUAGACUUUUUUUUUUCAGCAGUUUUAGGAUCACAGCAAAAUGGAACAGAAGACACAGGGAGUUCCCAAAUACCCCCUGUCCCCACACACGCAUAGCCUCCCUCACUGUCAACAUCCUCCAGCAGAGUGAUAUAUUUGUUACAAUUGUUGAGCCUACAUUGACACACCAUAAUCACCCGAAAUGCGUAGUUUACAUUAGGGUUCACUCUUCCUGUUGUGCAUCCUAUGGGUUUUGAAAAAUGUGUCAUGCCAUGUGUCUAUUGUUGUGGCAUCACACAGAGGAGUUUCACUGCCCUAAAAAUCCUCCGGGCUCUGCGUAUUCAUGCCUCCCACCCUCAACCCUUCCAACCACUGAUCUUUUUACCGCCUCUCUAGUUUUUCCUUUUCCAGCAUGCCAUGUAGUUGAAACGGUACAGUGUGUAGCCUUUUCAUAUUGGCUUAUUUCACAUAGUAAUAUGCAUUUAAGGGUUGGGUGCAGCAUCGCAUGCCUGUAAUACCAUCACUUUGGGAGGCUGAGGUGGGCAGAUCACCUUAGGUCAGGAGUUCAAAACCAGUCUGGCCAACAUGGUGAAACCCCGUCUCUACUAAAAAAAAAAAAAAAAUUCAGCCAAGCGUGGUGACGGGCGCCUGUAAUCCCAGCUACUUGGGAGGCAGAGGCAGGAGAUUUGCUUGAACCAGGGAGGUGGAGGUUGCAGUGAGCUGAGAUUACACCACUGCACUCCAGCCUGGGUGACAGAGUGAAACUCCAUCUUAAUAAUAAUAAUAAUAAUAAUAAUAAUAAUAAUAAUAUGCAUUUAAGGGUUUUCAUCUUUCAUAGCUUGGUAGCUUAUUUCUUUCUAAAUACUAUUCUAUUGUCUGGAGGUACCACAGUUUAUUUAUUCAUUCACCUAUUGUAGGACAUUUUGGUUUCUUCUAAGUUUUGGCAAUUAUGAAUAAAGCCACUAUAAAUAUCCAUGUCCAGGUCUUUGUGUGGAUGUUUUCAGCACCUUUCAGUAAAUACCAAGGAGUGUGAAUGCUGGAUCCUAUGACCAGCGUAAGUUUAGUUUUGCAAGAAACCGUCGAACUCUCUUCCAAAGUAGCUGUACCAUUUUGCCUUCCCACCAUCAAUGAAUGAGAGUUCCUGUUGUUUCACAUCAUCACCAGCAUAUGGUGUUGUCAGUAUUAUAGAUAUGGGGCAUUCUUAUAGGUGUGUGGUGAUAUUUCAUUGUUUUAAUUUGUAUUUUCCUAAUGACAUAUGAUAUUGAGCAUCUUUUUAUCUCCUCACUUGCCAUCUAUAUCUUCUUCCAUGAGCUGUCCAUGUCUUUUGCCCAUUUUUAAAUUGGGUUGUUCAUCUUCUAAUUGUGGAGUUUUUUUGUUGUUGUUGUUGGUUUUUUUUGUUUCUUACUUUCUUUCUUUCUUUCUUUCUUUUUUUGAGAUGGAGUCUUGCUCUGUUGCCCAGGCUAGAGCGAAGUGGCAGGAACUUGGCUCACUGCAACCUCCACCUCCCGGGUUCAAACAAUUUUCCUGCAUCAGCCUCCCAAGUAGCUGGGAUUACAGGUGCCCGCCACCAAACCCGGCUAAUUUUUGUAUUUUUAGUAGAGACGGGAUUUCACCAUCUUGGCCAGGCUGGUCUCAAACUCCUGACCUCAUGAUCCACCUGCCUCGGCCUCCCAAAGUGCUGGGAUUACAGGCGUGAGCCACUGUGCCCUGCCUAUUGUUGAGUUUUAAGAGUUCUUUGUGUAUCAUAGUCCUUUAUCAGAUAUGUCUUCUGUACAUAUUUUCUCCUGGUCUGUGACUUGUCUUCUCAUUCUCUUGGCAUAUGGUGGGAGUGUUUACACCAUAGAAUUGGCAAAUACCACAAGUUAGGGCUUCUUCUUAGAGAGAGCCAAUUAUUAAAUCUUUACCAGCACGUCACUGCAUCUAGGCAUCAACCAUUUAUUGACUGCACUGCAUAUCUUUGACCUAAAAAAGAUUUGGUCUAGCAGAGGAGGCAGAUCAGUGAAUCACUGACAAUGGUGUUCUGAGUAUUGGGAUAGAGGGAGAACAAGGUUACUACAGGAACAUAAGUGGGGGUGGGGGAACGGGGGCACUUACAUCAACCAUAAUAUUGGGAUGGUUUCCCAGUGGAGACCUGGAGCCCUGAGCUAAUGAUUUCAAAGUAAGUAACAGUUGUCUGGACCCACGCUGCCCUAUAAGGCAGCUCUUUGCCACAUGUGGCAAUUUCAGUCAUUUAUACCAGGCAUAUUUCAAGUAUUCAAUAGCCACAUGUGGCUAGUGGCUAGUGGCUACCACAUUGGAUGGAGCAGAUACAGAGCUUUUCCCUCAUCACAGAAAGUCCUAAUAGACAGCCCUUGUCUAGACAAAACAGUGGGAGAAAGCAUUCCAGGCAAAAAGAACAGAAUGUAGGAGACCAGAGGUCUUAGAAAACAUGCCUCAUUCUGGGAACCACAGAUAGUUCUAAGGGACUGAAGUAAAGAGUGUUUGGGACUGGAGAGGUAGAAGAUGUGGCUGAACGAACAAGGCAGCAGGCAGAUCACAAAAGGCCUUUAGUGCGAAGCUAAGGAGGUUAAACUCCAGCCUGAAGACUAUGGAGAACCCAAAGAUUUGAGCAGGAGCUUGGUAUCAUCAGCCUGUCUGCGAAUAAGAUCUCCCUGACUGCGUUGGAGGCUGUAUUACAGGGGGCCAGCCAGAAAGGCAGGGAGACGAGUGCUGAGACUAUUGCAGUCAUCAGGGAAAGAAGUGAGAGAGGUUUGAAGUAAGGCAGUGGCUGUGGAAUGGGUGCAGAGAAGGGACAGAGUUGAGAGAAUGUGAAGGACCCGAUGGCUGAUUGUGUCUGACCCUGAAGAGGUGCUUUGUAAAUAUUUGUUGACUUAAUGAAUGAAUUACAGCAAAACUUAAAACAAUAGAAGUGAGUGCACAGCUACUAGGCUUCUAGGUAGUAUCUACUGCACAAAUGGUGUGGUGCAGAGGACACCCUUGCCUUGGUAUGGACAGGCUGAAGUGUUGACUUUAGACUGAGAAAACAGCAAAUAUUUUGACCAUGCUAAUCAGUCCCCAGUGUGGGCUGUUGUGUUUCAGGUUAGCUGUGAGCUAACGAUGGCAUGUAGGUACAUUCCCCUUCUUUUGAGCUCAAGGAGAAAGAGGCAACAGGGAAGAGUGAGAAGAGAGAGACGGAGGGAAGGGUUGGUAUCCCUUGUUCUGUCUGAUGGAGGGAGGGCUCGGCUGAGAAGAGAGCCAGCUGUGCUCAUGGAAGAUGCUGAGGGAGCCAGGGUCCAAGCAGUGCCUCUCAGAAUUGGGCACAGGCUGGCCAUUCUCCCCUCUACCUCUUCCCCAAUCUCCUUGUCAUGUGGACUGCAGGGCAGAUUUGGUGUCCUGAAGGAUUGGGUCAAUUCACCAGCAGAUAAAUGUGGUGCAUAGUGGAUCCGCAGCAUCUGGGAAGGCAUUGUCAGCAGAGGAUGCGUGGGGCAACAGAACACUGGAACCAGAGUAGGAAGCGUGAGUAUACUGGUGCCUAAACACGUGAGAGAUAACAGCCUCCCUCUCUUGGCCUCUCAGAAGUUAACUGGAGGAGAAUCCGAAGACAGUGGCUAAAGCUACUGGAACCUGGACAUCAUUGUAAAUAUGACCUUGUUUGCAUCUACAGGUCUGUUAGGCCCAAGACAGUUGAGUUACAAAAUGAGUAAAUAGAUGAGAUGAAGCAGGUCCAAUCAUUCCUUCAUUAGAAAAAUAUUUACUGAGCCUCUGUGUGCCUUGCAUAGUGCUAGAUGCUGGGUGUACAAUGGUUUACAAAACAGAGGUGACCCCUGCUCCGUGGAGCUUACAGCUCCAAGUUCACUUGAACUUGGGAGGCAGAGGCUGCAGUGAGCUGUAAUAGCCAUACAGCUCAGUCUGGCACCAUCAUCUGUGUACGUGCUAUUCAGGAAAAGCACAGGAUUCAUAAGACCAUCUUAGGGGAAGGAUUAUUUUAGAUUAGAGGGCAGGGGAGGACUGUUUGGAAGUGACAUUUAAACCCAGACCUGGGCCAGGCAUGGUGGCUCACACCUAUAUUCCCAUCACUUUGGGAAGCCAGGGUGAGUGGAUCACCUGAGGUCAGGAGUUCAAGACCACCCUGGCCAACAUGGUGAAACCCUGUCUCUACCAAAAAUGCAAAAAUUAGCCAGGUGUGGUGACAUGACCCUGUAAUCCCAGCUACUCGGGAGGCUGAGGUGGGAGAAUCACUUGAACUUGGGAGGCAGAGGCUGCAGUGAGCUGAGACUGUGCCACUGCACUCCAGCCUGGGCAACAGAGCCAGACCCCAUCUCAAAACAAAAACAAAAACAAAAACAAAAACAAAAACAAAAAACAAAAAACAGAAAACAAAAAACCAACCCAGACCUGGAGAUGAACAAGAGUUAGCAGGGUUAGCAGGGGAUGUGCCUCCAGGUAGCAAGAAUGGCAAGUGUGAAAGGUUUGGGGACAAAUCCUUGGCCAUUUGGAGGCUGAAAGGCCAGUGGGGCAGGAGCAUAAAAGCAAGGGGCAGGGGAGGCAGAAGAGGAGGCUGAGGAGGGAGGCAGGGGCCGGACUUCACAGGGCCACAUUAGGACUUUGGACUUAAGCCUAAAUCCAGUGGGAAGGGGAGUGAUGUGAUCGGAUUUAUUUUUACAAAGAUCGCUUUGGCAUCUGUGUGGAGGACCAGAUUACGGGAGAGAAUGCAGGGAGAAAGGUAUGAAAGCUGACAGUUGCCAAAGGAAGAGAUGAUGGUGGCAUGGCCAAGGUGAUGGAGUAAAGUGGAGGAACUGAGGAGGCAUUUUUUAAAAAGCAUUGAGACAAUCAAGGUUUUUCUCACACACUUGCCUUGGUAUAGAGGGGCUAAAAUGUUGGCUUAGACAAGGCAAACAGUAAAUAUUUUGGCCAUGCUAAUCUGUCCCGAGUGUGGGCUGUUGUGUUUUAGGUUAGCUGGGAGCACAGUCCCCUGCCUCAACCAGGGCCACAUCUGACCAGAGUCAAUUUUAUGACUGAAGAUUUCCUGACAAAGCUUUUACAACUUCUGCAAUCUCUGCUGAUGUUUAAAAUAAUUACUAUUAGGAAAUAGUAAUUAUUAUAGGAAAUUCCUGUUUGCAUUUCAUCUGAAUUCCUCUCACAUUACAUUUUUUUAAUUCUAGAGAUAAGGAUGCUAAAAUAAUAAGUCACCUGGGUAGCCAAAUAUGAAUGACGUCAUAAUGACCGUUCUGAAUUGCAUCUGUCCCAAAGCCAAAGUGACCUAUUCGUUAGCAGCGAAGAAAAAAUGGCCGAAUAUCCUCAGAAGAAGAGCCCAAUUAGAGUUGUGCUCACUGCUAAGUUCUUUGCCUUUGCUCCUUAACAUGUGGACCUAGCAACAGCACCCAGUAGCUUGUUAGAAAUUCAGGACCAAGUUGGAAGCUGCAUUUCAACACGGUCCCCAGGCAAUUCGUAGGCACUUUAAAUUUUGAGAAGCACCAUGGUUAGAUCACCCUAGGGCCAUCUAAAAGUGGGUGGGCAGUGGCAGGUGCCAGAUAUUUGAAAUGCGGUGAGGCACAGCAAGUGGUUAGGAAAACCCAACAACUGGUCCAACAGGACCUGGCUUUUCUCUGGAAGCUUCAAGUUCCCAAGUCACAUAGAGUGUUGCAGCCAAACUCGGGGACAAUGUGUUUGUUGGCUGCUGGUUCUGUGGCUGGUGAGAGGAGCUGGCUCAACCCUCCUCUGGUGCUGAAAUGCUGUCAGGUAGAAACUAGGGCCCGUGGGGACACAUGCGGAGGGGCUCCCCCUGGCAGCACCAGAGGCUGAGGGGGGUUGAGCUCUCUUUCCCCCUCCCCUCCAUAAUGUGGACAGUUUGGUUCUUGUCCUCUUUACCUGGCCGCUAAGAGCCCUCAUUCCUUGUAGGUGGUUUGGGUGACUUUCCCGCUUCCUUCUGAAUGGAGGCUGAUGAGCAAGGGAAAGAUGCUUUGGCAUCUCAGUACAAAAUACUCUUCAGUAGCUUUUGCUACAACAGAACACCGAGCUCCAGGGGUUCUGAAAGCUCUGCUCAUACCGCCUGCCUACGGGGUCAGCUCCUGCAGGCCGAUGACCCCUGUCACCCCCUGGUCUCGUUCUCACUCUCUACCUGAGGGGUAUGCAACGCAGACACCAGACACGGCCUGGCCAAACAAGGACACUUUGUUUUAUUACUGCUUUCCUGAGAAGCCUUUCAAGGCACAAAGUCUCCACCAGAAUCGAAUCACAUACCUCCGUCUAACUAGAGCUGGUCCUCCCACAUCAUCAGACAACUGGAUGGAGUUUGUGGGCUGUUUAAAGCAUAUGGUUUGUAAAUACUGUAAAAUCAAACAUUACUUAUGGCUUUUAUUUACUGCAGCAUUUCACAUUACCUAGCACCAAAAUAGCUGAGGAGGUCUUCUCUGCCUUUGUUCUUUCUCCUGUUCUUUUCCUUAUGCUUCUUUGCUCCCUGCCUUCCGCAGCAGCGGUUUCUCUGCUCUGAUUCUUCCUCUCCCCACUGCCCAGCCCUCCUCCUGCACCAUCUGCCCACCAACUCCACACCGUUCUCUUCCCUGGCCCCACUCACCCUCUCCCUUUCCUCCCCCUGUGCCUCUCACGCUGCCCCUUGAUCCUCCUGGAUGUCUUAGCUACCUUUCCCUCUCUCUGCUUUCACUUCCAAAAGCUGCAGGUGCUCCUUACUCACACUCGACUCCCUCCUGCCUCCACCAGGCUAUUUUCUUUUCCCUCCCAAUACCCACCACAGAGUUCCUUUUUUCCUCUUUCCUCUAAAGGAAACAUGAGGAUCAGAGAACUGUAGAAUCACAGUCACAAGGGACACUGCUUGUGCUACACUGGCAGUCACUUCUGAGUCAGAAAAUCUUUCUUCUCCGAUCACCUUCAAUAACGGCUGCCCCCAACCCCAUCCCUCCUUAGAGCAAGAGAGGUUGGGGAAGAGAAAACUUCCAGGCUCCCUCACCAACACUUUCACCCCCUUUCCUGUCUCAGCACACACACAGACACACAGAUGCAUGCACGCACAUGUCCACACAUGCAGGAAUGCACACAUAUGCAUACACAAGCACACAUGUAUACACACAGGAGUGCACAAAUAUGUGCGUGCAAGCACACAUGUGCACACCUGCAGGGGUACACACCCAUACCCACAAACUCCGAGUGCACUUGGUGCAGAACGGGUUUGCACCCGGCCUCCCCUAAGGCCCUGAGCUUCCUCUCUACUGUCUCCUUCGCCCCUGGCCAGGCUGACCUGUGCUGUGCACCUCCAGAGUGAGCCCUUGGACACAUGAUUCUAGCGUGAUGGGAUGGAGAGCGACAGCCAUGGUGGGGUUCCUUGCUCCAGGUGCAACUCUUGGGCAGCAGGAGGACAGCAGUGGUCAGACUGAACAGGAAGCUGGUGUCAAAGCCAGCUUCCACCUGGGGUCAUGUUUAGUCAAUCAAUUCAUAGUCAGGCUCCUAUCAUCAAGUGGGCUUCUUUCCAUGCCACUGGGCAAGGCAUCUUCAAAAGAGAAAAUCAAGAGGGAAAAUGAACAGAGCCCUGAAGACAUACCCUUGUAACCAUAAAACAAUGACUGUAAAAUUCAGCAUUCUCAGCUAGAGCUUCUUCAAGCACUUUACGGAAUGUAGGAUGCUAUUUCCUUCAUAGCUGGGGAAACAGAGGUUCCACUGAGUAAGCUGCUUGGGGAUUGUGGAAAAUCCCUCGAUUUCCCAGUACUUCGCUCCUCACAUUGAAACAUUCAUUUGAAAGACCCAAGGAAUAUUAAUUUGAACAGAGAUGAAUGUCUCAGCUAGGUGUUGACUAGGAGGCCAGCCUUGCACAGGCAGGGUCUCUCCAACCCCGUCCUGCCUUCACAUCCCCGCUCAGACUCGCUUGGCUGCCCGCAGCACUGGGCUGCACCUUAAUUCCUAAUGCAACAGUGCCCACCCCUUGGAGAACAGGAGGAGAGCUGCUCUGCAAGCCCUCCAGGUGAGCGGGGCUUGCAGGUCAGCUAGAACGUGCCCCACCAAGUUCAACCCCACCCUGUUGUUCUGUGUCCAGUGCCGAGGUGUGGUCUCUGCUUAGCUGUUCUCCGUGAAAAUUCCCAAGACAAGGAGGAAGCAGUGACAGCUGAAGGCCAGGACAAAACUCCAUUUCAUUUCCCUGCCCCCCUCCCAACUCCCCCACUGCCUUCCACACACCCCUGAGGGGGGCAGAAAAGCAAGUGUCAAUAUUAUUCUCCACCUGAGUUCCCUUUUGCAUCAACUAAUUACCAGCCCAAUUGCCAAUAAAUUACUAGUAUAAAAAGUUGUGUGUGUACACAGGCAGAUGUAGAUAGAUGUAUGUAUAUAUAGUCAUGGAGUCCAGCCUUUUUUCCUUGCCCUCUUUCUUGUGGGCAGCUCCAGACAAAAAGCUUCUGUCCCCUGAAGAGUUUAUCGGGUCAUGGGUGCCACGUAGUUGGCAGGGAAGAGGCCCAGCUUGUUGUGCAGGCGGCCGGUCCACCAGGAUGGGUUGGAGCUAUCCAGGACCUCCACCACCUCCCCGCUGUGGAACCCCAGCUCGUCAUCCUCCAGGGCCUCAAAGUCAUACAGCGCCCGGGCCCACCGCACUCGCUGUUGGGGGAAGCACAGAAGAGGCUCUGCUGAGCUGUGGGCUGGGCAGGCAGGGGAGGGUCUGCUGGCUCCUCCCACCACAUCCAAGUCUUUGAGAGCAACAUUCCCUGAAGGCUGACCCCUCUGCAGCUUAAAAAAACUUUUUUUGUAGAGAUGGGGUCUUGCUAUGUUGCUCAGGCUGGUUUUGAACCCUUGGCCUCAAGAAGUCCUCCUGCCUUGGCCUCCCAAGUAGCUGGAACUACAGGUGUGAGCCACCAUGCCCGGCUACCCUGCUGCAAUUUAAAUCAGAUACCUAUGCACAGGCCUGAGCAAGAAGUUCCCAGAACGCACCAGCGUCACUCUGGAGACCCAGGACUUUUACCAACAGAUGUUAUUGUCCAAAGCCCCAAUAGACUCCCUGAGAACCACUCUCUCCACAUCAAUAGGUGGUAUUUUUAUCUUGAGUGACAAACAGAAGGGCAACAUGCCCCAAACAACAGCCCUUGGUGUUAGGGCAAUCAAGUCACAAGUCAAGAUGGAUCACAGGCCAGGCACGGUGGCUCAUGCCUGUAAUCCCAGCACUGUGGGAGGCUGAGGUAGGAGGAUUGCUUGAGCCCAGGAGUUCCAGACCAGCCUGGGCAAUAUAGCAAGAGCUUAUCGCUACAAAUAAUAUACCUAGCUACUUGGGAAGCAGAGGCAGGAGGAUCGCUUGAGCCUAGGAGUUUGAAUCUGCAGUGAGCCAUGAUUGUGCCACUGCACUUGAGCCUGGGAGACAGAGUGAGACCCUGUCUCAAAAAACAAAAAAAAGAUGCAAUGAUAAAGGCAAUGGUAAAGGACUAUGAUAAAGAUGAUAAAGAACUAGAACUGAGAACUAUGAGAACAGGGAAGGCCUGGCACCAGACUGAGAUCAACAGACUGGACGGUGCUGGCUCAGCCCCAGGCCUCCCCAAACAUUCCAUCACCUCUCGUUGAUCUGUGUGUGCAUUUUUGUUUUGUUUUGUUUUGUUUUUUGAGACGGAGUUUCGCUCUUGUUGCCCAGGAUGGAGUAAAAUGGCGCAAUCUCGGCUCACUGCAACCUCUGCCUCCUGGGUUCAAGCAAUUCUCCUGCCUCAGCCUCCCAAGUAGCUGGGAUUACUGGCAUCUGCCACCAUGCCUGGCUAAUUUUUGUAUUUUUAGUAGACGUGAGGUUUCACCAUGUUGGCCAGGCUGGUCUCGAACUCCUGACCUCAGGUGAUCCACCUGCCUUGGCCUCCCAAAGUGUUGGGAUUACAGGUGUGAGCCACCGUGCCCAGCCAGAUCUGUGUGGUUUGAGUCUCUCCUGCCUCAUCUCCUCCAUUGACCUCUGUCCCAAGGCCUUUCCCCAGGGAUCCCAGAGAAGGACAGUUCCCAUACCCCUGCCGCCUGGAGCUGCACUGGGUCUGUGUGUCUCCGAUGCAUGAGGGCCGCAUUCAUUUCACUGCCCAAGCCGGUGCCACAAUGCCCAUCAUUUAUGUCAAGGCUGCCUCCUCGGCGUUCCUAGAAACAUACAACAGAAGACUGGUCACCCCACUGCCAGGACAUCUCCCACCGGUUCCCCCAGUGCCUUGCUCAGAUGCCAUCCACAGAGCCGGUAUAUUCCAGGAAUACUUACUGAUAAUGACAAUAAACCCUCCACGUUGAGGAGGACCUAAGGUCUAAAGGCACCUUAGAUUCUGAAGGCAAAGAAGGCAAAGGCAGGUUUUAUUUAUUCAGUCAAGAAAUAUUUAUCAGGCACCUACCAUGUUUCCAGUAGCAGACACAAGGGAAAUAUAGCUGGAAAGAGAAGGUCUCUGGCUUCAUGGAGCUUCCAUUUAGAGGGGGAACCAUGCACAUUUAAGUGGUAAGUGAGCAGAGAGAAGAAAUGUCUGUAUCUGCCCGGGAAAUCAAGGAAGGCUUCACAGAGGAGGUCAUGCUUGAACUCCAGCUUAGAGGGGUAGGACUGCCCAGGGAGGGGCUCAUCAGGCAGAGAGAUCAGCAUAUAAAACGCCACAAAGGCAUGAGAGGAAACGCAAUGGACCAUUCGGGUAACUAAGGCAGCGUGGGGGGUUGCUGGAAUGUGUGUUUGCACGGGGAGUUGGCAGGGAGGCAGCAGGGACGAGGCUGGGGAAAUAGAUUCUGGCAGCUCACAAAGGACUUUGUGUGCCCUGCUAAGGAAUUCAGGAAUGAUGUUAUCUGGCCGUAUUGUCCAUCUCAGUAAGCCGCCUGAAAUCCCAUCGGGAACAAGGGUGGAGGGAGAUAAAUAAGUAAUAAACAAGGCUCUGUUGUGGGUAUUAAGCCUUUUUCUCUUGUGGAUCUGACAGCCAGAUGGGCUAAGGGGCAUGAAUAGAUUUGGAAUUGUGCUGAUAGGAAAAUGAAGCAAUUGUUUACUGGGUCCUCAGGGGAAGUGUGUGUGUGUGUGAGUUUAAGUGUGUGUGUGUGUGUGAGACAGUGUGUGUGUGUGUGUGUGUGUUCAGGUGGGAGCCAUUUAAUUCAUAGAGAUGUCUUUGCCAAGAACAGUUUCCCUAUUUCUGCCAUUUGGGGGGGUCCAGGGUCUUCAUCAUGAACUCUCUGAGAACUCAAGAGGCUGGGCCAGGCCUGGAGGGGAGGCAGGUUCUCCUUUCCACCGUACUGUGCCCACUGCCUUCUUUCCAGAUACCUGGUGGAAAUGGUGGUGCUGCAGAUAUCGCUGCUGUGGGGGCUGCUGCAGCUGCUGGGGCGCUGGGGCAUAUUGCGGAGGCUGUGGCUGGUGCUGGUGCUGCUGCAGGGGAAGGGUCGGGGGGUGAUCCGACAGCUUCCGGUUCAUCGAAGGUCGGAUUUCUUCUCCCACAGCCCCACUGAGGUGUGGGCCUCCCUGGGACCUCCGGUCCAGGCUGUUGCCCCGGUGACCCUGGGAGAAAGAACAGAGAUGCUGCAGAUGCAUCCUCCUCUCUGAUCGUCUGGCCCUACCCUACCCUCGGGCAGUUGUUCCCAGACCCUGCUCAUCUGGCUCCAAGAAAUAGCUGGUGGGGUGGGGGCAGCUAAAAGAUAAUUGAUGCUUUAGACCUUCACAUUUUCCAAAGUGGCCUCUGCAUUCUCAGAUCCUCCCAGUUUUAGGAGUGCAGGUCUCUGGUUCACAGACUAACACUUUUUGCCUGGUAGCCAUUUAGUCCAUUUCCAGGGCGCUCGUUUUUUCUCUGUGUAAUCAAGCUGAAAUAUUCCAUUUUACUGAUACAAUGCCACCCCUUCUUAUCACAUGUUGCCACACCACUGGACAAUCUACCCUCCAGAUAAGCUCCACUGUUGACUUUGCAUGAUUUUGAACUGUCAUUUACAGCCUGGUGAUAGAGACCCAAACAGCAACAUUCUUGCAACACCAUGGGAACCAGGCCUGCCGCCGGGCUGGACGUGGGGGAAGAAGUAAGGCCUUUUUCCCUAAUGUUACAACAACCUUACAAAUCAGAAAUACCGUAUUGUUAGUUUCAUUUAACAAACAAUUAUGUAGGACCCUGAGGGCAGCAUAUACCAGGCACUGUUCUAAGCGCUUUACAAAUAUCAACUCAUUUAAUCCCAUUUAAUGCAAUUUUAUAUUGCUUCUCUGAAUGCCCAUCCUAGUGAGUUAAUACCUCUGUCCGUUUCCUGGUUAGAGUGAUUCACAAGGUCUUGGCUAGCCUUUGUUUUCCUUUCUGAACUUCUGUGUGCAUUUGGUGGUAACUUCUUUUCUCCUUUGGCAGUAACUUCUCAGGCUUAAAAGCAACUAGGGACUCGAAAAAGGAGGAUUUUCUUGACUUCCCCAAAGCACACAUUGCUUUCACAGUCUCAAUAUCUUUUCAAAUAACCUGUCCCUAGGAUUUCAGCUAUUCUAGUGAAUGCUUCUUCCUAUGAUACCUGUCUCUUAUAACCAUGUUAUUUCCUUUGAAAAAUAGUUCAUAAAUUGGUGUGUGUGUGUGUGUGUGAGUGUGUGCAUGUGUGAAUUUACUUAUGGGAGGCAAGUUAACAUGUUCUUAGUGUUUAAUAUGGACCAGACUCUGGUAGUGCUUAGCUGUAUUAAGUCAUUUAAUCCUCACAACAGCCCAGUGAGGGAGGUUUUAUUGCUCUCUCCAUUCUACAGAUGAGAAAACUGAUACUCAGAUGGUUUCUUAACUUGGCUAGGUAAUACAGGUAGCUAAGCGAUUAAAGCAGGAUUUCAUACCAGGUCUGUCUGACGCAUUUCCUUUUAAAGCAAUAGUCUGUAUUGCAAACAGUUGCAACAGCAAUAAUUCCAAGUGCAGUUUUCUCCUCCCAUGUCCUCCCUACCCCCAAUCCCAUCAUAAAACUCCACAUGCUGAUUUAACUCCUGAACUCUAGGCUGUUCCCUAAUGUCCCUGUCUGUAGCACCCCCAACUCCUUCAUCCUUGGGCAACUCUUGAGCUAGGUUGAAAACUUUGGUGUAGCAAUGUCUAUGAAUAACAAAAAAACAGCACCUGUGGUAAGAGCUGAUGCUUGCUGAGCGCAGUGUGAUGAGGAAUGACAUGAGGCGUGGGAUACAUUAUCUUCUCCAACCUUCACAGCCAUUCUGGGAGGUAGAUAUUACCAUUGUCCCUACUUUAUGGAUGAGGAAACUGAGGCGCAGAGAACUUUCCAAAGUCACACGACUAGGAAGUGUUAAGUUGAGAUCUGACCUCAGAGCUCUGAGCUCUGUCUUUCAGUAUACUCAGAGGAUCUACCCAUCCUAUGCAUUUUUCCUGGUGGUUCAUGUGAGAACUCAGGCUGCCUAAAAUCUCUAGAUUGGGGUCGACUGGAUCUGGAGCAUACCUGGUCUUCUCGGGUUCUGUCUCUAAGGAAGAUCUGCUUCUGUCUGGAGAUGGAAUUUGUCCUGUAGUAGUCUACCAGCUUAUUUAGGGAUGGAAACUUCUCAGUCCACAGAAAGUAAUUACCCUUGUUGUCUCGCAUGACCUUGAAGUGUUGAACGUCAUCCUCAUGCCUGGAGAUCAAGGCAAAACAAAAUUGUAUGUUACACGGUGAUAAUGUCACCACCUCCAGGCUGCUCACAUCUGGGAUGGUGGAGUUCUCUUUGAGCAGGAGAUGUAGAUAUGGAUGACUCACUCAUCACUGGGCAGGUGGGCCAGCCCAGUCAGGCUUCGGCAGGAACUUUGUAGGAUGGACCACUUAGGAUACAGGCUAUGCUAGACGGGAUUUACAUCAGCAGAAGGUAAUCAGAUGAGCUAAAAUUUGUUUUGGACACUGGAACUAACCUUUUACAAGAAAAGCAUGUUCCAAGUGACUUAACGACAAAGAGAUCAAAGACCUUUUCACAAUGUUUAUUCGCAAGAUGUCAACAGGGGUAUUUCAAGCUCCUAUUAUCUUUCUGUUACCAGAAAUUCUUUGAACCAUCUCCUUUAAGCCCAUAAGCUAGCACUGGCAGGUAAGAAGCUACUCUCUUUCCUAAGAAAUAUGUCACAUUUUUUCUCUAUGUAAUAAGGAUCUCUUGAUCUUGGUUUAUGUUUUGCAUAAAUAAGGUUACAAAGUGUUUUCAGCUUUUGGUGAAAUAGCUUUGUAUGAAAUACAGAGUUUUUGUUUGUUUGUUUGUUUUGUUUUUUUGAGAUGGAGUCUCACUCUGUCGCCCAGGCUGGAGUGCAGUGGUGUGAUCUCUGCUCACUGCAACCUCCGCCUCCCAGGUUCAAGCGAUUCUCCUGUCUCAGCCUCCUGAGGAGCUGGGAUUACAGGCACCCACCACCAAGUCUUUAGUAAAGACGGGGUUUCGCCAUGUUGGUCAGGCUGGUCUUGAAGUCCAGACCUCCGGUGAUCCACCUGCCUUGGCCUCCCAAAGUGCUGGGAUUACAGGUGUGAGGCACUGCGCCCUGUGAAAUGAUAGAGUUUUAAUUGGCAAGGAUGUUGGAGAUUGUUUAGCCUUACUUCUCCAUUUUACAGAUGAGGACACUGAGGCUCACAGAGGUGCAGGGGCUUGGUCAAGGUCACUGCUGAGUAAGGGCUGAGGCCAGAACCCUGAGUCUCUGACUCCAGUCUAGUGAGCUUGGCCUGUCACGCCACCUAAACAUGAUAACUUCUUUUUUCUUUCAAAUGAGUUGGUUUAAUUUCAGGUGAUACAAAGUUUAGGGUAGAACAACGACCAAAGAGCAGAUUCUGGCAAGAUUCUGAGCUGGUUUUACUUUAAAUUCACAGUUAUGGUAGGAAUGACUUAGUGAAAACAACUAAAGAGAUGAUGAGCCACUGGAAGAUUUUUUUUUUUUUUUUUUUACAAAAGUUUAUUCUUAAAUGUACAACAGCUCCAAGACGACACUUAAUUCCAACUAUAGGUGGCAAAAGAUAUUAUAGGAGGGAAUAGAGAGGUUUAAAUACGGAUGAAAUAAAGGGUCACCGUCUCCUUAGGCACAAGGAACAGCUUAUUUUUUGCCAGAUUUCUUAAUUCCACCUGUGGCCAGAGGCCCCUUCCCCACGACCUUCGCUUUUAGCACCUCGAGUUUCUUCUGCUCCUCUUUUUGUUUCUGCUUGAAAGCCUUCUCUUCCUCGUCCAUCUCCUUGGCCUGCUUCUUGGGCUGUUUCAGUGCCUUCUUCUUGCCACCUUCGUGGCUGGACAUGGCGCCUGCCGCCCCUUCCCCAGACCCUGCCACUGGACGAUAACUUCUUUUAGAUCAGCACCUUUUGUUGCCAGUCUGGACUCACAAGUGAUGGGACACAUUCGAACCAGGGCUAGAGAAAAUGGAUUUUAUCCAUCUAGGAAGGGUGGGCUGAGCCUUUACCAUUAGAUCCAGUUUUACUUCAUUGCCAAGUCAUUCUCUUUUGGAUGUAAAGUUUAUUUUUCAAACAGACAUACAUUUAUAUCUAAAAAUAAACUGGCACUAGUGAUGCCAAUUGCCUGAUGUAAAAGAAAGGUCAAGAAUUUUAAAGGGUCUCGGAGAGUAAAGAUACCUCUGAGAGUAAGUGGAGGUUUCUUUUUGAGUCAGAGUCUCGCUCUGUCGCCCAGGCUGGAGUGCAGUGGCGUGAUCUCUGCUCACUGCAAGCACCACCUCCCAGGUUCAUGCCAUUCUCCUGCCUCAGCCUCCCAAGUAGCUGGGACUACAGGCGCCCGCCACCACGCCCGGCUAAGUUUUGUAUUUUUAGUAGAGACGGGGUUUCAUCGUGUUAGACAGGAUGGUCUCGAUCUCCUGACCUCAUGAUCCGCCCACCUCAGCCUCCCAAAGUGCUGGGAUUACAGGCGUGAGCCACUGCGCCUGACCAUGGAGGUUUCUUAGGGAUGGAUUUAGGGACCUGUGUUAAGAAGGAGAUGGAAAUUCUGACCCUCAAUCUCAUCUUAUGUGCUGGGAUUUGCUCAUAGCUGGGUGAAGCCACAGGUUGUACAAGUGGCCUCUUGCUUGACUGAUUUCGGGUGGUAAUCAACAUAUUGCAAUCACUUUGUGGUCUUCCCCUUGGUUUUGGCCACCAACAGAUACUUUCUUCAUUCUAAGACAACAUGGAUCAACUCAAAGUCAUUAUCCUUCACAUCCAGGUGAGGAGGAGAAAAUAUUCUUGUGAUAUUAUAAUUUUUCAUCCACCACCUCAAAGAACUCAGAGUGUGAAACAUUGACCCUUUUACUCUCAUAAGCUGUAAGGAUGGGUGUGAGGGUUGCAGCUGGUUAUCUGGGUCUACAAGGAGAGGAUGGCCUGACCAUUGUCUCAAGCCUGAAGAGGAACAAAGGAAAGGAUGCGACUCAGGGCGCUGGACUCCAAAAUCUGGUGUUUCAGGCCCUUAACAAAUGCUGAGUGAUAGAACUACAAUUAGCUCUUAAUUAUCUGUGCCCAUGACAGAUGUAAAAAUAAUUAAUAAUGAUUUUGCUUUGGAAAAUAUUAUACUACAUUUCUGCAAAGACGUGAUAAGGAUUACGGUAAUUGUCACCAUAACUAGAAGCUUCAUCGCCUGAAUAUCAGGGGAAGACUUCGGUAGAAGUCAAGGCCUACUGUUUUGUAGAACUCACUUUAAUUAAGGAAAUAUAAACCAUAGUUCUGGGUCCGGGCACAGUGGGUCGCGCCUGUAAUCCUAGCACUUUGGGAGGCUGAGGCGGGUGGAUUACAUGAGGCCAGGAGUUCAAGACCAGCCUGGCCAACAUGACGAAACCCCGUCUCUACUGAAAAAAACCACACACACACAAAUUAGCCAGGCGUGGUGGUGCGAACCCAUGGUCCCAGCUACUCAGGAGGCCAAGGCACGAGAAUUGCUUUGAACCUGGGAGGCGGAGGUUGCAGGGAGCCGAGAUUGCGCCACUGCACUCCAGCCUGGGCGACAGAGCGAGAGUCUGUCUCAAAAAACCAACGAAACCACAAAAACCAUAGUUUCUAGCUGAAAAAGCCAGAGUCAUCUUCAUGCAAACCAAAGGCCCAAGAGAUACCCCUCAGUCUAACAAAUUACUUGGUCAAGUUUAUGAUGGGGUAAAGAGGGGAGGCUUAAGAAAUAGAUUUGACUUGUAAUAUAUAUACACGCAUGUUAAAUAUAUGUAUAAUUGUUUUUUCUAAUAAUAUAUGUAUAUAAUAUAUGUAAAUAAUUUUUUUCUCUUGAGACAGGGUCUUGCUCUGUCACCCAGGCUAGAGUGCAGUGGUGCGAUCGAUCUUGGCUCACUGCAACCUCAACCGCCCAGCUCCAACAAUCCUUUAACUUCAGCCUCCCAAGUAGUUGGGACCACAGGCAUGCGCCACUGCACUGGGUUAAUUUUUUAUUUUUAGUAGAGAUGAGGUCUCACUAGUUGCCCCGGCUGGUCUCCAACUCCUUGGCUUAAAGCAUUCCUCCCAACUCAGCCUCCCAAAGUGCUGGGAUUAGAGGCAUGAGCCACGGCGCCCGACCCUGACUUGUAAUAUAUGUUAAUGGAGCGAAAUUUCAUUAAUUAAGACCUAACAAGAUUAGAAUUUGUGAUACAUCAAUAUUGGCCUGAACUAAAGUUAACCAUUCUCCAAGCUAUGAAAAUAAAGUUUUUACUGAAGAAAAGAGUUUAAGCAAGAUUGCAAGGGCAAUGCUAAAGAGACCACUUUAAAGGUAUGUAUGCAUACAAAUUGUUGACCUGUUAUUUUUAAGUCCUUCCUACCUAUCCUUUCAAAUAUCCAUUCUUUCUAAACAGCAAAGUGGCCACAGUUUAUUACUUGAGAUUGGAUUUCUGUCCUUAAAACAAAGCUUUAUGCCUUUCAAAAUAUAUUGAAUAAACCAGAUCGGUAUUUCCUGCCAAUAACUUGACAGUAAGGUUUUGCUGUACUUCUCCUGAUCUGCUAACAGCAUUAUAUUCUUGCAGUUUCACAUGUGGUGAAGUCUGAUACGUGACUUGCGAUCCUCAACAUGCUGACCACACACAGUGUGUUCCGAACUGGGCUUCUGAGUUUGGGGCUGUGUAAUGUCUACGCGUGGACUGAGUCACUUCCUAUGGGUUGCUGCACCUUAGUGAGAUUUCGCUGUUACAGUCCUCCCCCACUCCUGGCCCUCUGUUCUGUGGUUUUCGGUCUUGCUGUACUGUACUGUGUUGAAGUAGCCUUUCUUUUUGUUCAGCUGCCUACAACUAUACAUGUAUUUGUUGGGGCUCAGAAAACGACACCCCUUGGCAUGCUGAGUGCUUCGAACCAAAGGAGAUGGGAAGGUUUCAGAAGCAGCCUUGGAAGCAAAGUCUUCCUUUGGCCUUCUCCUGCCCUCCUGUCUCCCGCUCCUCUUUCUCCCCCUGAGUGAGUCAUAGAAAUUAGAAUUCCUCUUCCCCACAGUGGGUCAGAGAGACUAGAAGGGUCACUAUGGGGGAGGCCAAGGCAGGAGGAUUACUCGAGGCCAGGAGUUUGAGAUCAGCCCAGGCAACACAGUAAGACCUAGUCUCUACAAAGAAAUAAGUUAAAAAAAUAUUAGCCAGGUGUGGUGGUGUGCACCUGUAUCCCCAGCUACUUGAGAGGCUGAGGUGGGAAGAUGGCUUGAGCCUGGGACACAGAGGCUGUGGUGAGCAAUGAUUGCGUCACUGCACUCCAGCCUGGGCAACAGCUGUCUCCAAAAAAAAAAAAAAAAAAGAAGACUUGGGACAGGCCUUGUUCAGUUUCCUACCUCAGUCUGUUACCUUAGAUCAAACCCCCUUUGUCCAAUCCCAUUUCUACAGGGCUGUCUGUCCUUUGACAAACCUAAGCAUAAAAAUAGACGGCUUUCCCUGGGUCUUGGGUCUUCAUUUCUGAAGGCUUCUGUGUCACACAAGUCUUUGAUUAAAUAAAUGUGUCCACUCUCCUCUUGUUAACCUGUCUUGUAGGAGUGUCAGCUGUGACUCCUCUGAUGGGCAAAGAAAGGUGCCACAACUUUUCCGCCCCUGUAUAUCCUACAGCAGUGACUUGAGAUUUCUAUUUUUCUCUGACUCUUCUUCAGAUAUGCAUCAAUCAUAAAAGAAAAGGUUAAGAUUUAAACCCCCAGAUGGAUCUGGACAAGUGGGAGUUCUCCUCCUCCUAUCCCUCCUUCCUUCCACAAAUACUCACUGAGUGUCUCUCUUUUAUGCAAGACACUGUUAAAGGCAUAAAGAUGAAGUAGAGGAAAAUCCUGCCCUUCCAGAAGCACCUGGGCUAGAAGGGGAGGCAGAUGGGCGUAGAAAUAAUUUCAAACACACACCAGUGUUCUAAAGAGUGGUGUGUGCAUGUUUUGGGAAGGCACUGGGAGCAGCAGGUUGUGAAGCUGCUGCCAUGCUUGGCCCCUAGGCCACCAUGCUUCUGACCAUUGGGUCAUAUUCCAGAGGUCCCUUCAUGGCUUCAGCAUUCUGUGAGGUUAACAGGCCGAGAAGGGCCAAGGCAGUGUCAGGAAUGGUCAGUACCUGACAGAGAUGGAGAAGUCCCCUGGGGAGCUCUGGCUGGCCCGGAUGAUGAAGAAGCCAACCUCCUUGCCCAUGAGUAAGUUCUCUGCCUGGUGUCGAGAGAGGCCUUCGUGAAACCAUCUGUGGGGGCGAGAUCAAACAAAAGGAUCAGGAUGAGACACAGGAGUGACAAGAGGGAGACGUGGAGAAGAGGUGACCCAGAGGGAAAGAGGCUGGGGACUCUGUACAGUAGGGAGCAGAGAGAGACCAGGUGCUGUUUGAAAUCAAACCAGUGCUCCAGGCAGCUUUCAGGAAAGGCGAGGGAGCAUUCCCCUUGAUUCACCCUCUUUGUUCCUUCUCUCCAGGAGAAGUCUCUCUCCAGCCUGGGAAACGAAUCAUGGAAAUGUGUCGCUGCACCAAAAUGGGGCAGUGUGGGAGUGACUCACUGCAGGAAGCAGCCGCCUGCCGGCAGCUGCGGAAGAGAUAGACCAGAGCUGCGAGGACAGAGGAUGCACUGGGGAGGGAAGGGAAGGCUUCAGGCACUGGAGCCAACCAGGUGCAGCCGGCUGAGCAGGGCCUGGGGUGCUCAUGCCUGCCCUGAGGUCUCAGUGGCCUAGAGGUUCCUCCCUGGGUAUUAAAGGAAAGUUACAGCCCAGGGCGUCACGUUACCUAGGCUGGCAUGGAGCACAAGGGGGCUUUGCUCAGUGUGCCUAGCAGAGGCUGCAGUGUUCCUAGGGAGUCCAGUGUACAUGCUUGGAAAUCAGCGAGGCUGGCAGCCGCCAGAGAGCGGCGUCUAUACAACCAGAUCCUGGGCCUGCCCCAAAAAUCCAGGCUGGGAAAUAAUCUUUACUGUGGAAAAGAAGAAACAGGAGAAAUUACUCUUUUAGCAGAAUGGUCAGGGUGGCAGCCCCUGGAGGUACAGCUGCAUACAGCGUGGCAUGUAUGAAAUAGGUCAAACACUUACACAGGGCCAGGCAAGCUGUGGCUGCAGCCUCAAAGCAGGAGGCCAGAGACCUCUCUCCACCACAGACAAGCAAAAUGAGUGUCUGCAAUCACUCAGCGGCCAAAGGUGGGACUGUGUCACAUUGCUUCAAGGUGGCUGCUCUAAUUGCUGUCACCAGAAGGCUCAUACGCAUGUUCCUUUAAGAUAAAAGCCCGUCAGGCCUUGGCUUUGGAUUCCUUUGUGAGCAAUUCUCUGUGCUUUCUAGAAUUUGGGAAACUGAGACAUAGGUAGCAGGAAGGAUGUACUUACUGGAGACUGAGUCCCCCACUGGGACUGAGGGGGAAGUUUGGCUGUGCUCUGAGAGGGCUGAAAGCAGCAGUUUCUGGUGGCCUGGAGAUUCUGCCUGAGUAUUUGCCACACAAUUCUACAGGGCUAAACAAGAGGCCACCACACACACCACUGCCACGUGUGGGAAAUGUAAUGGGGAUGGGAAGAGGAAUGGAGUAUGCACCACAGCAGCCAUAUCGCAAAGGAAACAUUUCAGAAGUGAAGGGGAUUUAGGAAAUACACAUUUGUCCUCUGACUGCAAUCUGAUAGGGGGCUUCUUUAAAGAUUUGUAAAAAUCACCACACAUUGCAUAUUAGACAUGAGUGGUCAUGGUUUCAAUAAUACAUAUUCGUUCGUUCAUUCAUUCAUUCAUUCAUUCAACAGCUUUACUGAACAUCUAGUACUGUGCUGGGCCCCUCCUGGGCACUGGGGACACAGUAGUGGGCAGAACAGACACACACCCCUGCCCUCAGGGAGCUUACAUUCUAGUCGAGGGGGACACACACAAAAGAACAAAAUAAUUAAGAUCUGAAGCGUGCCAGAUGAUGGUAAGUGCUGUGGAGAACAUGAAAACUGAGAGGAGAGAUGGGGCGCUGUGGGUGGGAGAUUAAUGUAAGGUAUGGUGAUGAGAAAGACCUCACUGAAAAGGAGACAUUCUAAACCUAUAGGGGACUGGGGAGUGGGAGGAACCAACACAAGAGACUGAGGAGGAGAAGCCAGGGCAGUGGGAGGACAACCGGAGGAAGGACGUCCUGGAGCCAAAAUGAAAGAGGUGUUCCAGUGGGAGGGGGGAUCCCCAGGGCAGGUCAUGCUGAGAUGACCCCUGGGAGCUACAGCCCAUGGGGAGCCUGGUGGGAAGGGUCGGGAGAUGAGGAGUUGGAAGUAGCAAAUGCACACACUCCUUUUGAAGAGAUGGAGUGGCAAGUGGAAGGGGAUUUGGGAUUAAGAAUUUUCUUGAUUUAUUUAUUUAUUUAAAUUUUUUUUUUCUUUGAAACAGAGUCUCUCUCUGCUGCCCAGGCUGGAGUGCAGUGAUAUAAUCAUGGUCCACCACAGCCUUGAACUCCCAGGCUCAAGCGAUCCUCCUGCCUCAGCCUCCCAAGCAGCUGGGACUAUAGGCGCAUGCCACCACGACCAGCUAAUUUUUAAAAAUUUUUUGUAGAGAUGGGGCUCGCUAUGUUGCCCAGGCUGGUCUCAAACUCCUAGCCACAAGUGAUCCUCCUCCCUCAGCCUCUCAAAGGACUGGGAUUACAGGCAUCAGCCACAACAAAACCCACCUGGCCUCUGGGUUUGGUUUUGUUUGUUUGUGUUUUGGUAAGUUGGGAGAAAUUGCAGCGUGUGUGUUUGCUGACAGGAAUGAUCCAGCAGAGAGGGAAAGGAGGUUGACGUGGAAGAGAGAGAGAGGAGAAUUUCUGCUAGAAGCAGUGACAGUUCCUUCCAGCCAGCUGCAGGAAAGGCCGACUGUUUGAGCACACUUGCAGGAGGCAGGUGGAUGCGGUGGGGGAGGGGGGUCUGGGAGCUUCACUUCUGGUGGCUUUCAUUGUUCCAGAGAACCUGGAAUCAAGGUCACGGGCUAAGAGUGAUGCACGGAGGGGCUGAAGGUUUGAGGAGCACGUGGGGUAUGCAGAGGUCACCUAGCAGAUUCCUGGGCAGCAUCAAGGGUUCCGUCAAGGUCAGUGGUCAUUCUCUUGGUUUGGUGGUCAGUUCAGGUUUACCAAGACUGGUGCUCUUGCACCUUGCUGGAGUCACCAAUACUACUGUGGUUUUCUAACAAGCUUUUGCUCUUUGAGCUAGACCCUGGUUCUGAGGCAAGAUUAGAUUUCUAUCUAACCCUUGUGGUCAAUUCUUGAGACAAACGAAGCCCAAUCUCAAUUUUUCAUUUCCUCUUUAGGAAGAGAAUUUCCCCUUCCCCCCGCUGACUUCUCUCAUUGGGGUGAGCAUGCUUUACUGAAGGCAGGGAGUGUCUGUCCACCCACUGAGUGAAGGGUGAGAGCCUGGUGAGGAUGGUUAGGAUUAGGAGGUCACAGAGAAGCGCUUAGGAGAGCAGCUCCCGAAGUGGGGUGGCCAAUAGCGUCCCCUUUGGAAUUCUGGGGAACGCCGUGAUUGAAAUCACUAUAGAUAAUUUGAGUUUACAAACUCAUUUUAUAAAAACUUAAAAUAGGCCGGGUGCAGUGGCUCACACCUGUAAUCCCAGCACUUUGGGAGGCCGAGGCGGGUGGAUCACCUGAGGUCAAGAGUUUGAGACCAGCCUGUCCAUCAUGGUGAAACCCCAUCUCUACUAAAAAUACAAAAGUUAGCUGGGUGUGGUGGCAUGCACCUGUAAUCCCAGCUACUAGGGAGGCUGAGGCAGGAGAAUUGCAAUGAGCCGAGAUCAUGCCACUGCACUCCAGCCUGGGCAACAGAGCAAGGUUCUGUCUCAAAACAAAUAAACACAUGAAUAAAAAAACCCAAAAAAACCCAAAACUUAAAAUAGGCCAGGCAUGGUGGUUCACGCCUGUAAUCCCAGCACUUUGGGAGGCUGAGGCGGCAGAUCACUUGAGGUCAGGAGUUUGGGACCAGCCUGGCCAACAUGGUAAAACCCUGUCUCUACUAAAAAUACAAAAACUAGCCUGGCGUGGUGGCAUGUGCCUGUAAUCCCAGCUACUUGGGAGGCUGAGGUGAGAGGAUGGCUUGAGCCCAGGAGUUUUAGGCUGCAGUGAGUGGUGAUGGAGUCACCGCACUCCAGCCUGGGUGACAGAGGGAGACCCCAACUCCCAAAAAAAAAAAAAAAAAGUUAAGAACAACUUAAAAUAGCAAUACAUGCACAUGGUGUAAACAUCAAAAGGGAAUGAAAUGAAAUGCAAAGUCUCCCUCCUGCCCUGGCCUUCAGCUGCAUGCUCUGGAGGCUCUCCGGAGAGAGCUCCAGAGGCAGCCAUUUUUGACAAUGUCUUGGGUUCCCAUGGAUAACUGUAGUGACUGCUGGAAAUGUAAGAGGAGUGUGUGUGGCUAGGCCCAUCUCAGCAGGCUGCAGAUACUUACUUGGGAAACUGGAUGUCUAUGAAAUUCUUGGGCACAUAUCCUUCCUGGCUCCCAAGCUCCGCCUUAAACCACUCCUCUUGGUUACUUAAAAUCUACAUGGAAGAAAAGGAAAGACAAAGACAUUGGAGGGAGGACACCAAAAAAACAAGAGAAAGGGGCUGCCAGGCAAAGAAGGCCCUUUUGGACUUAGAGGAAAAUAUGUUAAUAAGUUGAAAGAACUCAACAGCUGUUCUAGGAUUUACCCCAGGCCUGUGGAGGAGCCGUGGGUUUACCUUUGGAGUCAGCUUCUCCUGACCCCAGGUUAUUUCUGUCCACUUGUGCCGUCCACUCAUGUCACCCCACUGUGGCUUGGCCUCCCAAAUUCAGCACUCAAGGACUUCCCUGAAUCCCUUUUUCUAUUUUGGAAAUUCAUUUGUCCCAGUUAGCACCUUAAGUUCCUCAUCUCAGCAGAUGGUGAGAAGGAAGAAUGGUUACUCCACGGUGUAUUUUUUUUUUUCUCUUCCAGGUAACCAGGAAACUUUUCUCUUUUUUUUGUUGUUGUUUUUCGUUUUUUUGAGACAGAGUCUUGCUCUGUCGCCAGGCUGGAGUGCAGUGGCGGGAUCUCAGCUCACUGCAACCUCCACCUCCUGGGUUCAAGCGAUCCCCCUGCCUCAGCCUCCUGAGUAGCUGGGAUUACAGGCAUGCGCCACUACACCUGGCUAAUUUUUCAUAUUUUUAGGAGAGACGGGGUUUUACCAUAUUGGCCGGGACUGUCUUGAUCCUUUGACCUAGUGAUCCACCUGCCUUGGCCUCCCAAAGUGCUGGGAUUACAGGCGUGAGCCACCAGGCCCAGGAAACUUUUCAAAAAUUCAAUUUGUUAUUGUUUUUUAAACAGGCAGAUUAAAACUUAAACAUCCCAGUGGGGCCAGCUUUGGAAACAGUAACUCUUUGUGUUCACAUGCUGUGUAUUUCACAGAUAUUUGGCUGGAACCCAAGAUACUUGGGAUGCCUUUUCUAAACUUGCUUUUAAAGCCAGAUCCCAAACAAAACCAAAAGUUCUGUCUUGUUACUCUGUGGCCUGACUUUGACUGUGACCCCAAAUGUUAUUGUCUACCUCAGUUACUCAUAUUACUCACCAGACUUGACUGUAUGUGGCUUCUGGUUUCUCAAAAAAUGAGAUUCACCAUUAAAAGACAAAAUAUUUGACACCGCCACUGAGAAUGUUUUGAAAGUCUGAGGCCAGGUGUGGUGGCUCGCGCCUGUAAUCCCAGCACUUUGAGAGGCCAAGGCACAUAGAUCACUUGAGGCCAGGAGUUCGAGACCAGCCUGUCCAUCAUGGUGAAAUGCCAUCUCUACUAAAAAUACAAAAAGGAGCCGGGCCUGGUGGCACAUGCCUGUAAUCCCAGCUACUCGGGAGGCUGAGGCAGGAGAAUUGCUUGAACCCAGGAGGCAAGGUUGCAGUGAACCGUGAUCUUGCCACUGGACUCCAGCCUGGGCAACAGAGCAAGCCUCUCUCAAAAAAAAAAUUUUUUUUAAGUCUUUGAUAUAGACUAGAACAAUAAUUCUAAAUAAGGAUAGCAGAGCAAAAGAUGGAAAGAACUCUGAUAAUGUCACUGAACCGCUGAAUUAGAUGAUACCCAGGAGCCUUCCUACUUCUGGACUUUGAGAAAUUACAAGUCUUUGUUAUUGUUUAAGCCAUUUUUAGUUUAUGUUUCUUGCUCCUGAAAAUAUCUUAACUGAUAGAAGUGUGAUGAUAAAGAAGAAAGCAGAAAUAGAUAGAAAAGGCAUCCAUAUGUAGAGGAGAGACCACUUGCCUUGGCAACGAAAGGAGUUACUGAGGCCAAGUCAGAUGGCAAUGGACUUCCUCCUUCAGCUCUGAGGAGGUGUGGUGUGUUCUGGGAAUGAAAUGCCUCCAGGUGGCUGGAAUGUAGACUGUGAAUAUCUUGAAAUGUAGGGGGAGCCCUUAAAGGAUUUUGAGCAGGGAAGUAACAGUAAGAAUUAGAGUUCAGAAAGAGCUCUGGCUGGGUGCGAUGGCUCAUGCCUGUAAUCCCAGCACUUUGGGAGGCCCAAGUGGACGAUCGCUUGAGCCCAGGAGUUUGAGACCAGCCUGGGCAACAAAGCGAGACCUUGUCUCUAUGAAAAUAAAAAUAAAACUUAGCAAGGCGUGGUGGAAGCGCACCUGUAGUCCCAGCUACUCAGGAGGCUGAAGCGGGAGGAGGGUGUGAGCCCAGGAGUUAAAGGCUGUAGUGAGCUCUGAUUGUACCACUGUACUACAGCCUGGACAACAGAGAGAGACUCUGUCUCUAAUUAAGAGAGAGCGAGAGAGCGACAGAGCUCUGUAUCAGAGAUCAGAAUGUGAAGAUAGAUUGCAAGGCUAAAGUCGGCAGAAAAACUGCAGGAAGAUGAGCGCAGGCCUCCAGUCAAGAGAUGAUAGGGCCUAGGCUAAGAGGAGGUGAGGAUAUAUUUUAGAGAAAUUCAGGAAGCAAACAGGCAGGAUUUCUUGACCAAUCUUGGAAGCUAAGGGAGAGGAGGACUCUGGGAUGCCACUGGAUUUCUGGCUUGGGAGACUGAGUAGGUGGUGACGGCUUUACAGAAAUAGAAGAUACAUGAGAGGAGGCAGGGCUGAGAAAGGGCUCAUGGGCUUCAGAUUGCAUGCGGGUGACUGUGAGUUGAAUUCUUCAACUAAGAAGAAAAGCUCAGGGAGCAGCUGGAUAUGUCAGUCUGGACCCAGGAGAGAGGCUAAGGUUGGGGCUUGGGGUUUCAGAGUCAUCAGAAAGUGGGUGGAGUUGAAGUCACAGGGCCCUUGGGCUUCUUUCUCCCAGAAAAGAAGAUGGGAAGAUAAUGGAAAGAACUAAGUGCUUGAGUGGAGAUGAUGACCUAUUUCUAACAUCACUCCAAGGUGGAAGGAAGGGGACAGUGUUGUGAGUUGGGAACGAGAAGACCUGGUUUCUAGCUUGGCUCCAUCACUAGAUAUGUGAUCUUGGCCAAGUCAAUCAGCCAUUUGAAAAAUGGAGAUAAUAAUAGCCACCUAGCACCUCACAGAGCUGAUGUGAGGAUCAAAUGAGCCCUGGUACCUGAAAGUCCUUCAGAAAGUGUAGACUCUUUUCAAAAAAUACAAUUCCAUCAAAUGUGGUAUUCUUAUGAGGGAGGCCUCCAGCUCUGAAUAGGACAUGGAAGGGUUUAUACGUUCUUUAAAGCAUUAUGUGUGUAUGUUUUGAAUUUAGUCAUUUAUUCUGAAGGAAUAAAAGUGUGUCCCAUAUUUGAGUUUGAGAUUGCUGAGAACAGAAAACUUUAUAGUUUCUAACAUCAAAUGUGACUGCUGGUGUCACUAAGGACAUGUGGGUAUGUGUGUGCUGAGGGGGCAAGGGAGGAAGCAGAAAAUCUAGGUCAAAAGAACUAGGAAACCCAGCAGCAGCGCCUCGUAGCCACGUAAAAACACAAGAGCACACUGCACUCCAUCCAUCGCUUCUGAAUUCAUGGCAUUGGAAUUCCUUUCUCCCGUCACAUGGGAAUGUGGUGUUUGGCCAGGGUAGCAAAUGUCACACAGAAAGGGGUAAAAGAGGCCAUUUGGAAACUACCUUGUCACCGUAAGAACCACACGUUGAGGCCGGGUGCCAUGGCUCACGCUUAUAAUCCCAGCACUUUGGGAGGCUGAGGCGGGUGGAUCACCUAAGGUCAGGAGUUUGAGACCAGCCUGGCCAACAUGGCAAAACCUGAUCUCUACCAUAAAGACAAAAAUUAGCCAGGCAUGGUGGUGCAUGCCUGUAAUCUCAGCUACUUGGGAGGCUGAGCCACGAGAAUUGCUUGAACCCAGGAGGCGGAGGUUGCAGUGAGCCGAGAUUGCGCCAUUGCACUCCAGCCUGGGCAACAGAGCAAGACUCUGUCUCAAAAAGAAAAAAAAAAAAAAAAAAACCACACACUUUGUACUUCAUUUUCUGACCUGAAAGCAGCUCUGUAAUUUUAGUUAUCAUGCCUCAGACCUCCUCUAGAAACUGAAAGAUUAUCCCACAAUGCCAGCCAUUUCUCUCCGCCACCUGGUGCUUGGUCUGCCUAACACUGUGUUUCUAGAGAGGUGAAUUUGCAGGCUCUUUACCAUGUAUAGAAGGUGAGGUUUUUUUUUAAAAAAAAUUCUCAUUUUCUGCAAAGAAAAGUAUUUGAGGGGAGGGGAGAUGGUUUCCUCCUGCCGUUGUGGGCCCAGGGCCCCACACUUCCUGUUCUUCUCAUCUCUCCAUCUGUUCGGUUCCCCCUAUCUCGUGUACCCAUCGUGUAAACCUGAGCAAGGCGUUCAGCCUGAACACUUGAAGUUUUACUCUUGACUGUUUCUUAAUUCUUAUAAUGUUCCCUAAGAGAUGAUUUUUUGGGUUACAUGGCCUGUGAAUAAGUUAGACGUGGGAAGAGAAGGGCCAAAUUACGGCUGGAAGAAUUUUUAAAUUGGAUGAAAUUGUAGCUUUUAGAAACAUAGCAAAAAUCUGAAGUAUUGAAGAAAUGAAUUAUGUGGAAUUAACUCUUAGUGCUUUUAGGUUGCUAUUUUAGCAGGAAGAAAUGAGGUCGCAUUAGCUGCAUUACAGAAGGAGACAGAAAUGGACUGGGUCAAGAGAUAUUUUUCAAAGCUACUGGCAAAUUUAAUGGCAAAUUCAAAUGUGAGGCUGGUGCUGUGUGUAGCUGCAGGUAUGGUGGUUUGUGGCAUGAAUAGGAAAAAAAUCUGAUUCCUGAGUUUCCAAAUGUUUCCGUCAUAGGAGAAGCAGGAUCAAGUCAUUUGGCAGCGUUUUCCUGUCCACCAUCUUGAUCUACAUGCCGUGUAGAUCACCAUCUAGUGAGCACCUGCUGAUUGCACUUAGGUGCAUGAAAUAUGGAGAUAAAUAAGCUGGGGCCUCUGCCCCAGGAAACUGAUGGUCUGUUGAGGGUGGGUGGCUGCUCAGACUUUUUUGUACCUUUCUAAUGAAAACCUCUGUUUAGUCUUUAGCACAAAAGGCCAAACAAGUCAGAGAAUCCCAGAAGCGAAUUGCUGGGGUAGUCAGGAGCUGGCUUUGAAAGUAUUUGUGAGGAUCCUGGGUGUGUUACCCAUUGAGGAAGGUGGGGGGCAGACAUUGCAAUCACAUGUGGGGAGUCCCAGCCAUGGGAACCAAUCACCAUCCUGUAGACAUUCUGUGGGGCUCAGUCAACAAGCCCUCCCCAUUUUGCUCUUUACCUGCAAUGGACAGAAUUUGAAAAGAGGGAGGGGGUUGGCUUUCCAAUGGAAUUCUAAAUGAACAGGAAGAAAUGCAAUUUAGCAAUUCAAGAAAUAUGUACUGGGCAUCUAUUUUGGGCCAUGACUUGUGUUAGAUGCUGUGAAGACACAAAGACGAACCUGGCAUUGUGUGCACACGUGCAUGACAUUGCUCUCAGGGAAUGGAGAGGAAUUGAAAGUUCAUUCAUUCGUCAAGUGUCAGGGAGUUCUAGGCACAGCUCUUCUAGACAUUGAGGCAGAAACAGCCCCUGCCCUUGCACAGCUUUUGCUAGUGGAGUAGACAACACAUAAACGAGCAAUUAGGAUCCCACGGGGCAAAGGCAGCAAUGAGAGGUAGAAAUAGAGGGUGCAUGAGACCACAGGGUCAUGGCCUGCCUAUAAAUAGCUGCCAUGUGAGGCAAAGUCAUAAGUGCCUGGAAAUGAGUGAAGUUUAUGUGAAAUGUUGGGGAGGAGCUGAAGAGGGAGUGAUUUGUUUCCCUGGGAUGGUAGGGAGUGGAGAGGACCAGCGAGGUUUCCAUGGUAGAGGAGGUCAAGUAUGUGUGUGUAGGAGAGGGGCAAUCAGAGUAUAUAGGGGAGAGGCUGAGAAAGGGCGGUGUAUACAUUGCAGUGCAACCUGGGGGCGUUACAUCUACAAAGAUGUCUCUGUGUGGGUGUGUGCACACAUGUGUACAUGUGCAUAAUGACACUGGACAGUGGUUUGGGGCCAGAUGUUUUCAGUCUCAAUCAAUUGGUAAUUGGAAACCCCUGAAUGCUUUUGAGCAAGGAAAUGAUAUGAUCUGAUUUGUCUGGAAAGAUCCCUCUGGGACUAGUAAGAAGAAUGAGUGAAGGAGGAAAAAGACAAGAGGUAAUGAGGUCAGUCAAGGAGCUGUGGCAAUGAUCUGAGCAGUCAGAAGCAGCGGGGAUGGAUGAUCCCGAUAAUGCGGGCCACCAUUUAUUGGGCGUCUACGUUGGGACAGGGUCAUCACCUCGAAUCCUCUCCACAACCCGGCAAGAUGGAUACUACCUCCACUUGCUGAGGAAGACACUAAAGCUCAAAGGGGGCAGAUGACUGGGCCCCAGUCUCCAUGGUUAGUAAGCUGGGAUUCAAACUCAGAUCCAUCUGACUCAAAGUCUAUGCUCCUUUUUACUGCCUCACACUCCUUUCUGGUGAAGAAGAGACUUGCUUGAGAGAUAUGAGGAAAAAAAUACAUUCAGAGCAGAGUUUAGUGCUUAGGAGUCAGACAGAGUUCUGUCCAGGUCCUGGAUUGGUCACAUGCUAGCUGUGUGACUGUGGACAUGUGAUUUAAUCCCUAGCCUCAGUUUCUCAUCUAUGAAAUGGAGGGGAAAUGAAUGCCUACCUCACAGGUUUGCUGAGAUGAUGAAAUCAUGCCUGCAAACCACUUAGCUAGAUCCUGGCCCUGAACAGGAGCUCAGGAGACGUUGGUUACUGGUCACCAGGAUUUGGUAAAGGAGGCAUUGAUGAUAAUUGGGGCUUCUAGCUUGUGACUGACCUAGGAUAAUAAUUAGAACAUGGAAAGAAGAGUGGCUUGGGUGGAAAUGGGGGUGAGAUGGGCAUGGGGGUUUGAGUGAUUCUCGGCAUCCUGAGUUAGGGGCUGGAGUUCAUGUGGGGACAUCCAGCAGACAAUUGGAAGUCUGGGUCUGGAGUUCAAGAGCAAGGCCAGAGCUAGAACACGAGCCACAGACUUGAGGGUCUUUGGCACAGAGGUGAUAGUUGCAGCUGAAGAAGUGGAUGAGGUGGCUCAGAGUGAGAAGAAAAAUCAGAAAGCCAAAGGCAGCACCUUCAGGGAAGUGUAUAUUUCAGGAUCAAGAGAGGAAAAAGAAUGCUUGGAAAUGAGACCUGUAGGAGUGGUCAGGAAGGGAGGAGAAGAACCCGGAGAGGGUGGUGCUGCCAAAGCCAGGGAGAAAGGGGCUUCCAGGAGAGGGCCAGUUAGCAGUGUCAAUCCCACAGACAUUUCCAUAGGGUCAUUAUACUACACAUUAAGGAGAUCACUGGUGAACUUCAAGAGAAUGUUGCAGGGAGGGUAAAAGGCAGAUUCCAGAGAGUUGUGGAAUGAGUGGGAAGUGAGGAAGUGAAGCACGCCCAGUGUAGAGAAUUCUUCCCAGUAUUAGCAACAAAGGGGAGGAAAGAAAUCAGGAGCUGGAUUGGGAAGCAGAGUUGAGCAAAGUUUUUUUUUUUUUUCUUUCCUUUUUCCUUUUCUGAGGAAUAGAGAAAACUUAAGAUACCAGGUUCUCUUUGUAAUGGAAGACGAGGGUGGAAGUUGGUACAAGGAUGGUCUCCAGUGGAUGACAGUCACAUGAUCACAGUGCCCCACAGAGAAGGCAGGAACUUCUCGCUGCUUGGCAAGUCCCUCCAGGAGCUUCGUAAGACCCCAAAGCAGUGACAGACAGGUUUUCCUGGGUCAGGAGGCCCAACUCAUAUUUUAAGUUUGUGAAGGCCUAUGCUUUGCCACUAUGUUACUAGAUCUUGAAAGUUGAGAGCAGUUAGAAGGCUACCUAAUGGGCAUGUUCAUAUUCCAAAAGAAGCCAUUCUGUGGUGUUUUGUGCUCCUCAGACACUUUCAAUGUCACCCUCUCACAUGCUGACAAGGUUCUUUGUAUAACAAACCUAAUUCUCGGUGGUGAGACACUAAUGGCCUCAGUGUUGCUGGGCGUCCGAGAAGGCUCAUUGGGACUGCUGAGGACCAGGGAUCAGGCUAUCUGAGGACCAGGGAUCAGGCUAUCUGAGGACCAGGGAUCAGGCUAUCUGAGGGUGCUCUGAGGUCAGGCAGAGGGGGUCUGGCUCCACACACUCCCAAAUGCCCUUUUGAAGGGCUUAUGCUCUUUUGCAAACAAACAAAACAAAACAAAAACCCAAGGGCUAAGAUGCAGAGUCUGAAAGUAUGGUGCAUGAAUGUGGGAGAAGUCCAAGGCCACUUCAGCUCAGCAAGUGGCCACUACAACUCAAGUGCAGGAUGAGGACAAGCUUUAAAAAGCCCCUGAGUGGCCAGGUGUGCAUGGCCUUUGUUGAGCCAUGUCCUCUGUGGCUGCCUUUCCCAAGCUGUCUCCACCCACAACCUCUCCUCCUGAGUUCCAGCUCUGCUGAGCCUGGCGCUGCUCCCUGCAUUCAGCAUGGGCUUGCACAUCUCUGAGCUUUAGCUAAAAGCCCAAGUCACCUUCAGUGCAUUCCUGACGUUCACAUUGCACACACUCCUACAACCCCCAUCUUUCAAGAUGGAAUCACUUGUUCCCUCACCUGUGCUCCCUGAGAACUUAGCCAAGAACAUCUGUAACAGCCCUUUGGGUGGAUGUGUUCCCCUCUCCAGACUACGAACCUCCCAGGACAAGGAUGGUGGCUUAUGCCGACUGUAUUUCCAUCACCCGGCCUGGUUGGUGUCUGGUAUAAGGGUGCACAAAGGGAAUCAAGGUGAACUUCUCUUUUUAAAAGGAACCACAUGCAGUUCUUAAGAGACAAAGGCAGGGACUGUCAGAUUACUGAGUAACUGAAACUCCCUACUGCUCCCCUGGGGCCCCAGGUCACCUACCUUCAAAACAUCUCCAGUGUGAAAGCUCAGUUCAUCCUCACCUGAAGCAGUGAAAUCAAACUUGGCAACAGCUUCCAUGCUGUAACGUGAAGCUGGAAGAGAAAUAAUGUGGUCAUUGUGCCUCUCUGCCAGGGGGAGGGCAGCAGAGCCGAUGGUGCUUCCUGGUAAUCAGCAGUUCCUAGGAGAGUGGGCAGAUGGAUGUCUCCAGGCCGGAGAGCAAGGCUCAGGCACACAACAAGGGCUUGUGUUUGCAGGAAGAGCUGCCGGAAUCUAUAGGAUCUAGGUCCUGGGAUCAUUCUCGGAAUCCCCAGAUGCCAGGAGCAGGAAAUGAAGGCCAUCCGCAGCCUUUCCCUUCUCCUUUCAUCAUCCUGGCCUGACACCACUUUUGGGGGCAUCUCUGUUUGCAGCUGAUAAGGAGGGAAGGCUUGCUAUCAUCUGUAACUUGAGGCCUGAGGGGCUGGAAAGACUAUUCUGUAAACACUGUCCCAAGGCUGUCCCUUGGCAGCUAUAUUUAACCAGGCAGUGUUAAUUAGACGGAUGCCAUUUCCUCUUUUACAUCUGAAUCAUUUAAGAGAAUUAGACAGCAUUGGCCAGUGGGGAACUCAGCUUCCUUCUGCAUGGUUUGGGAGUAGAAAGAAGUUCUUGGUCUUCGAGUUGGGAGGCUCAAUUGGUCAGAUUACUUAUUUUAUGAUAUAUUAUAAACCAAGUACAUUUUGGGAAUUUUGAUUUUAACAUUUUUGAAUUGAGUUAAAAUAGUGGCCCCCUUCUUGUAAUGCAUGAGACCCAUGUAAAGAUAAAUGAGUCGGCCUAUGUAAUACAUUUAGUAUGAACUAGAGCUGUGCUUUAGGAGGCAGCGGGGAUGUAAUGGUAAGACAGCUGGCUCCAAUCCCAGUUUUGUUGGUAGAUAGCUGUAGACUCUUGGGCAAGUAAUUAAACCCUUGGAGUCUCCAUUUCCUCAUCUAUAAAAUGGUGAUCAUAAUAUUCAAUUAAUAAAGUUGCAAGGUUAAAUCAAAUUAUAGAUGCAGGCCGGGCGCUGUGGCUCAUGCCUGUAAUCCCAGCACUUUGGGAGGUCGAGGCGGGCAGAUCACCUGAGGUCAGGAGUUCAAGACCAUCCUGGCCAACAUGGCAAAACCCUGUCUCUACUAAAAAUACAAAAAUUAGCUGGGUGCCGUGGCACGUGCCUGUAAUCCCAGCUACUUGGGAGGCUGAGGCAGGAUAAUCGCUUGAACCUGGGAGGCAGAGGUUGCAGUGAGCCAAGAUCAUGCCACUGUACUCCAGCCUGGGUGACAGAGCAAGACUCUGUCUCAAAAACAAAACAAAACAAAAAAAUUAUAGAUGCAAAGUAUUACACCAGAUAAAGCUAAAUAGUAUUUACGUUUUAAAAUAAUUUUAUGGAAUGAAUUUUUCCCCAGCAAAGGUAGCCUGACCAAAAUCAGCACAAGUUUUCUUUCCUCACUCCAUCUCCUAUGAACUUUUCUCAUUGAAAUUUGAGAACUAAUCUCCAUGACUAUCAAAUCCUGUGAUUCUCUGCUAAGACAGCUUAACUGUCAGGACAAUCUUGAAAGCUGUUAUUUUCUUGUUGAUCAAAAUUUCCCUAAGUUUCAAACCCUUUAGGGUAGAAAAUAAAUACUCUCCAACCUAAUAGACUUUCAGCGACCAGUCAACUGGGACCACAUUUGUCCUCUCAGUGGGAAUUCCUACCCAAGUUAACAAGAUUUGGGUAAAUAAGGAAGGUGGCUGCCAGUGAGAGGGUGAAACGCCAGGAGAUCAGAGGAUUAAAGCCGACUGCAACAGGGUGAUAGCAAGGGGCUCAUUUCUCUGAUUCUCCACAAUUGUUCAAUCUUUCGAAGGUAAUUUAUAGAGAUGACUAUUACCCAUUCAAAGGUAGAUGUUAAGCAAAAAAUAGACCAGGAGCCAAAGUAAAAUGUCACAGUUAACUCUUUGAGUCAAAACGUACUCCCAAACAACACCAUCACAAAUAUACUUUUUGUACACUUUCUUCAAGAUCCAUCUAUCGAAGGCAAAUUAAAAUUGUUGUGACCUAGGACGACCCACUCAACAGGAAGGAGUAUUCUGCCCUCCUAAGUUAAUGCUAAAUGCCUUUGCUGAUUUGAUUCACCCCAUCAUUUUAACACACAAGGCUUCUUCUAAUUAAGGCCUUGCCUCUAGUUUGCAGAGAGACAUGACUUCUGUGGGUCAUCCUCAUGGUAUCAACAGUAGACAGUGGUCGCCUCGUGGGAUCAAGUGUCAGGUGAAUGGUCCUGAAGACCAAGGUCCCAUUUGUAUGCAAAUUCACCUUAAUAAGCAGGAUGGAGACAAGGGAAGGGCAAAUGCUAAACAUAUUAGAAAGUUACAUAAAUUAGAAAUGAAAAAAUAUCCCAGGCAAGCUCUAGAUAAGACCUUGAUUUGGGGAAGAUCUUUCCAACAUGACAUGUAACUCAGCUCAGGCUUGGGCACUGGGUCCAGGCUGGCUGUAAAUCACUUCAGUGAGAAGUGAGAAGGCCGAGGCAGAAGUAAAAUUGCUUCUGAAUAGCAGCACUUUCCUCUGCCUUCCCCCAGGAGGUAGGCGGUAUGGCAAAGCCAACGACACAGCCAUGUCACAGAGCUCCCCAGCUUGUAAUAUUAAUCCUGGCUCAAAAAACCCAACUAAACAGGCCCACUCUUUAUAAAAUCGCUUUGAAAAAAUUUGUUUGCUCCCAUUUCCAUUUGUGAGAUGAAAUCUGCCCAGCUGCUGUUUGUUCAGGGUGGGGUGGGGUAUGUUCUCUUUUUGUUUAAACCACAGGGCUUCAAAAACUCUUCCCUUGAAGCACCCCUAGUAGUAGAGAAUAGUAAAUAUGUCACCCUCAGGGGUCGGUUUUCUGUUUGGUCAUAAAAAUGCAUGGAAAUGUAUAUCCCAUUCCUCUAUAUCCAUUAGCAUUAAUUUUGAAAAGUUUAAAAAUUACCACCAGGGAAAAAGGAAUCUGAUUAUCCAUUUGUUUUAUGAUCUGUACCUGCCACCACUACAUACUGCAUUGGAGAAACAACAACAAAAAAUAUGAUGCAGAUAUAAACUGGGUAGCAACAAUUUAGACAGAGUUGUGGGGGGCGGAGUGCAACAGCCUGAAUUCAAGAAUGCAAUGAAGCCUUCUUGCUGCUGUUUUCAAUUUCAGCGCUUCUGACUUCUGAAAAGAGAGACCCCUCGGCCAGGCACAGUGGCUCACGCCUGUAAUCCCAGGAGGCGGGCGGAUCAUGAGGUCAAGAGAUGGAGACCAUCCUGGCCAACAUGGUGAAAACCCCAUCUCUACUAAAAAUACAGAAAUUAGCUGGGCAUGGUGGUGUGUGCCUGUAGUCCCAGCUACUUGGGAGGCUGAGGCAGGAGAAUCACUUGAACCCGGGAGGUGGAGGUUGCAGUGAGCCGAGAUUGCACCACUGCACUCCAGUCUAGCGACAGAGUGAGACUCCAUCUUAAAAAAAAAAAAAAAAAAGAAAGAAAAGAGAGGCCCCUUUUUAGAGAACCUCACAGACGGAUUAAAUGUGCUUUCCCUGCCAGUGAUGGGCUUUAGAAAUGGCUGAAAUGCUACCUGCCCAUACAGUGUGAGACGCUGCAGCCUCUAGGGGCAGCCAAACCACCUCCAGCAGCAGCCCCCAACCCCCACCCCGCCAACCUGAUAGAUGGUGAUGCCAUUUGUAGGGCCUCAGUGCUAGCUCUGCUUCUCACCAGCCCUCUGCACCUCUCUCGCUUACCCCUUUAAGAGCUGUCACGCAAUAGCCAUUAGCAGCAUGCAGUGUGGAUCUGCUUCACCAGAGGGUAAUGCCACACAGGACUGCCCUGAACAUGAUUUUUUCUACCCUUGCCUUUCCAUGUGAGCUUCUUUUACUACCAAAAAAAUCUUAAAAAAUAUUCAGGCUAUAUACCAGGAAUGCUUGUCUACUUCUAAAAUAUAGCCACCACAGAGGAUGAAAACAAAAGCCAUGCUACAGCUCUUUAAAAUAACCUCCAUUGGAAACCCAGAUUAUAAGUGGAUUUGUUCAGAAACACGUAGUUACCAUCAAAAUGGCACCCGGCAAGAAACUUCUUGAUCAAAUUCAGCUCCUCCUAAGUUGGCUAUGAAUAGCUAAGGUUUCCAUUUUAUGUAUCUCUUACAAAGGGCAAUUGCAUAACACCACAAAGCUAUGUGAAGAUUCAGGCUCAGGACCCAGUGAGAGAAGGAGACAGGUCCUAAAUUGCUAUCACUUCCUAUUUUGCUGGGGAGAGCUCUAAUCUGAAUACUUGCCCCAGUUUAUGUUGUAAUUCAGAUAAGAUAAUGUCUUGAAAUUUUUUAAAAAGAGAGGGAAACAUUGCUUUUUACAAGAAUUGCUUGUCACAUAUUUGUCAGGACAUCAGCAACAAAAUUAAUUAAUUAGUUCAUUAAUUUAGAGACAAAGUUUUCCUCUGUUGACCAGGCUGAUGUGCAGUGGUGUGAUCAUAGCUCACUGCCGCUUUGAACUCUUUAGCUCACAGGAUUCUCCCACUUCAGCCUCCUGAGUAGCUGGGACCACAGAUGUGUGUCAUCACAUCCGGCUAAUUUUUUUUUUUUUUUUUGGUAGAGAUCGGGGUCUCACUAUGUUGCCCAGGCUGGUCUCGAACUCCUGGGCUCAAGUGAUCCACCUGCCUCAGCUUCCUGGAGUUCUGGGAUUAGAGGCAUGAGCCACCGUGGUCCAGCCAACAAAUAAUUUUUAUUAGUGUAUCUUGUAUACGAAAUGAAGUAAGAGAAUAGUGAGAGUAGUUUACACUUUAGGACUUUGGCUGCUGCUACUACUGAGAGGAGCUUAGUGAAAAUGUAAAAUUAUACCAGCUACUCAACAUCACACAAUGCAGAGACAGAAUCCACAGCCUUGUUGUUCGACAGGUAAAGCCCCUCUCGGAGACAGUAGAGGAGAGUGCCGCCUCCCCCAGUCGAAUUGACAAGGUCAGCUUAAUCACUUUUCAGAAGUAGGAAACCUUAUACUGCCAGGAAAAAUGAUUACAGUUAAGCCUCACUGUACACAAUAGGUAUAUUCUUGAAAAGUUAUAAUGAAUAGAGUAUUUGUAAAUGGAAUCAUAUUAGCAUGUAUUAUGGAGGCUCACUCUAUAAAGGAACCCUGUGGUGAAUCGCUUUAUAAAAUGAAAGGAAAAUUUGUUAUGCAAAUAACUACCUUUUAAUUUAUCUGUUUUAAAGUCAGGGUUUUCAUGCAUUGAGUCUUAAAACAGAGCACACCUGCCUAUCCCCUCCAGCUCUGCACACUGUGGGCCAAAUAAACAUUUGUUUCCCCUCCUCUGAACUCCUCAAGCACUUAACAAAACAAACAGACAAAAAAAAAAAACACCUCUCCUGUUGAUAUAGAACAUUUCACCUUGGAGUACAGAUGUGGAAUUGUCAGACCUUUUCUGUGCAGAGCCAGAGAGUAAAUAUUUUGGCUUUGUUGGCCAUCUAGUCUCUGUCACAAUGACUCGCCGUGUUUUUGUAGCCAGGAAGGUGGCCUUAGAUGAUGGUAAAUGAAUGGGCAUAGCAGGGUUCCCAUAAAACUUUAUUUGUGGACCCUGAGAUUUGAAUUUCAUAGCAUUUUUACAUGACAGGAAGUA
rnacentral:lncRNA from 1 species